ACAAAUCCUAUCUUAACAUGCUUAAGACCAUCAAAAUCUGAUUUAUAUCUUCAAAAAAUCUUCUUUUACUUUUCCUAAGACCUUUUAAAUCCUAACUUGACACGCUUAAGAUUUUUUUUUUUUUUUUAACAAAACUUGUAUUUGUUAAUUUUCUUAUAAAUAUUAUUUUUAUAAAAUAUUAACAAUUUAUUUUUACUAAAACAUUUAGAUAUUUUAGUUAUUUUGGAUCUUCAUUUAGUAAUGCUAUUAAUUUAGCAUUGUAUUUAGAUGCAUUUCUUUUUCUUUAAAAAUAAAUAAAUAAAUAAAAAGUAAACCUCAAUACAAAAAAUAUAAAUUUACCUGAUAUAUUUAAAAAAAAUUAAAUUCGAGGCAAUAAAGGUUUUUUUUAUGCCUUAAAUUUUAUAAACAAUUUUUAAAACCAUUAUUUUUUUUAACAUAAACCUUUAAAAAUAUCCUAUAAAAAAAGUUAUUACUCUUUUUUUAUUUUAAAAACAAAAAAUAAGAAAUUUAUUGAAACACUUGUAAGUUAUUUUUUUUUAUAUUUGUAUAUAUUUAUUCAUAUUAGGUGAUUUGAGCUAACCCUAUCAAUAAUCAACAAGAAUAUUCACUUUUAUUUAAUUUUAAAUAUUAUAAUUCAAAUAUUGCUCCUCCUAACAAUUUUUUUUUUUUUUAGAUUCAAACUAUUCAUUUUCUUAUUUUACAACAUUAUUAUUGUAACAAUUUGUAUUCAUCAUGUAGAUAUUAUCCGUUUUCGAUCAUUUUUCUCACGAUUUUAAAACACGUUUAUAUGGUAAAGAAAAACUCAUACAUAUGCAAUAUUAGGAACUUUUUUUCCGGAUAUCACAAUUAUUAUUAUUAUUAUUGUUAUUAUUAUUAUUAUAAAAUGAAUUUGGAAAAAGACGGGAUAUAAUAAGUGUAAGUGGGUAAGUAGCACUUGAGACAUAAAAUUUAGUUAGUUAAAUAAUGAUUGAACAGGUGGACCGUUGGACUAAUGAAUCCCACUGCCUUGGCUCCAACCACUGACCACUAAGCACUAAUCAAAAAAGUGUGCUGGCUGCUGCAAACAUGCAUGGGCCUUGUAAAAUAGCUGUCCAAUCCAACAAACUCAGAAAAACACAUUGCUCUUUAUCCUAGUUGCCGAGACUCGAGAGUCAAGGUCCGUAUAAGCAAGAAGACACCCUGUCCUAACAUGUAGGCCACCACCCACGGUCCCACCCUUCACCUAUUCAUUCCUGCUUGCUCACGUUAUGCCCAAAAUUCCGGAAAUGGCCAUAAAGGAAAUGCCCACAUCAACCUACCACGCAAAAAAGGAAAAAACAAGGAAAACGAUUUGAUUUUAAUUUCAUUUCCAUUUAAAAGGUUUAGAAAAGUAAAAUGUUGUUUGUUUUUUUUAGAACUUAAAACUUAGUUUAAUAAGGCUAAGUAUUAAGUACUUUUUUUGUUUUUUUUAAAAAAAGCAAAUGAUUAUUCAUUUGCUUCCAAAAAAAAAUAAGGAAUUUUUUGGGAAUCCUACAACAUUCAUUCGUUUCUUCUUUUUCUUUGAUAGAUGAUAAGAGUUUUAUUUGGGUUUGAAUCCUAUUGGAGGUCCAUUAGAGAUUAGAAAUUAUUGAAAAAACAACAAAAUAUUGUCCCAUGAAAACAAAGAAAUAGUUAAUAUAUUCAACAUGAUUACAUUACAAAAUACUUAUAUAUUAUUUUAGCAUUCACGUUUUUUUUAAAAAAAAUUAAAAAUUAAGUAAUAAAUUAACAAAAAGUAAAAAAAAAAAAAAAAAACCACAAACUUUCAGCAAAUUGUUAACAAAUCUUAAAAAAUCAUAAUUUUUUUAAAACUAUCUAAAAAAUAAAAAAUUUAAAAAUUUGAAGAUAUAAAAUAAAUUCAUGUUUUUAUAUAAAAGUUAUUAUAUUUUAUAUACAAAUUAUUAUUAUUUUAUAUUUUUAAAAAUAAAAAAUAAACAAUGUAUCCAAAUAAACAUUAAAAUUUUUAUUUUACAUUCAAGUAUUAAAAAUAAGAUUUAAAAUGGAUGAGAAUUGAAUAUUUUUUUUUUAAAAAAAUAAAGAAACCUAAAUGAAGCUUUAGAAAAUUCCAUAACUCAACCCAUUAAGACCAUAUUAGGGCUUGAAGAUUCCAAUACAAGAAAUCAUGUAUAUGAUUGGCCAAUGAAAGAAGAAAAGAAAAAAUAAAAAAAAAAAAGACAGAAAAGGAAAGAGUAGUCCAAAAUGCAUGUGGGGAGGUUUUUGGCUGGUUCAAUGCACCCAAAGAAGCCACCAUACAUUCCCUGUCUAGCCCACAUGAAGCAAACCCUACAAAAGUGUCCACAUGGCCAUAUGAUUUUUCAUUAAUUUUUAUUUUAUUUAUUUAUGUUGCUGGGGCACCAUAUGAUUACUUGCCAAACCCAUCCACAUGGGGAGUCAAAUCAUUUGUCAACUGUCAUUGCUCAAUUUUUCAUCAUGGCCCAUUAAUAAUCUUUGAAAGAAUUCAUGUUUUUUUUUUUGUUAAAUAUUUCCCUAAUUUACUGUUUUUUCCUCCAUUAAUAUUCACUGUAAUACUUUAGUAAGUCUUCCCAAUUUCUACCCUUUCCCACCCUAAUAAUAGAAAUAUUUUACUAAUUUACUAUUUUUUUCUCAUUAUUUCUGUUUCACAUCGAUUCUAUAUUGCUCUUAGUCUAAGAAAAUGUUUUUGAAAAAAAAAUGUAGAUGUUGGAUAAAUUUUAAAAAACACUUUUAAAUAUUUAAAAGAUUAUUUAUAUUAUUAGAAAAUCAUUUAUAAUGUUUUUUUUAUAAACAUACUAAAUUUUAUUAACAAUGAUUUUAAAAAGCAUUUUUGAAAAAAAAAUUAAAUGUUUUGUUAAAAAUCACUUUGAAAAAUCUAUAAAAUUAUUUAUAGGGUUGAAAAAUCACUUGUAAUGAUGCUGAAUAAACGUACAUUUAAUAGUGAUUUUAAAAAAUGUUUUUAGUUUUUCUAACAUUUGAAAUUUUUAUUUUUUAAGUAUUAGAAAUGUUAAAAAUAUUUUUCAAAAUCAUUACUAAAUGCAUUAUAAGAUAAUGUUUAGUAAUGAUUUUAGGAAGUGUUUCUAACUUUUAUAAUACUUUUAAAAUACAUUUUUAAGCCUUACAAUUUUGGAAACACUUUAUAAGAUCACUAUCAAACACACUCUAAGAGUAUAUUUGACAAUGAUUUUAGUAUUUCUAACAUUUAAAAAUAUUUAUUUUUUUAAAUAUUAAAAAUAUUAAAAACACUUCUUAUAAUCACUGUCAAAUACAUUUUAACUAUUCUUUUAAAAACACUUUUUUACAAAUCAUUUUCACUAAAAAUAUUUUAAAUAAAAAUACCACCAAAUACACUCUUUAUACAUUAUUUUCCUAAAAAAAUGCUUUCAAAUGAAAUAUUUCAAAUAAAAACACUACGGAAUUCACUCUAAUAUUUCCUAUAUUACUUUAAUAAAGUUUCCUGAUUUCUAGCCCUUUCCUCCCUAAUUAUGAUCCUUGACGUUGGCAAAAAAAUAUGAAAAAGUAUACCAAGGACAAAUUAUAUAGUUAUGAUUAUUUCUUUUGUCUUCAUUGAUUAUAUGUUUUUUUUUUAUCUCAUUCAAAUCUCAAAUCCAAUCUCAUGACCUUUUAAUANNNNNNNNNNNNNNNNNNNNNNNNNNNNNNNNNNNNNNNNNNNNNNNNNNNNNNNNNNNNNNNNNNNNNNNNNNNNNNNNNNNNNNNNNNNNNNNNNNNNAAAUCCAAUCCUAAAUCAACCAGCUCAUCCAUGCCCAUCAUUAUUUAACCCACCAACUCCACCUAGACUCAUGGUUUGCUUUUGAUGUUCUUCAUGGAUAGUGUACGGACAAAUACUCGAUCCUAAAAACCCAAAAAAGAAAAGGCAUUUGGCAAAAGUUGGAUUGAUCAACAAAUAAUAAGAUGCCGAUUAUUUUAUGCAUCAUCCAAUUAUAAGAUAAGAUCCAAAAUUAAACAAGAUAAAAUGAUAUCACUAUUGUCAUCAAAUUUGUGACAUUCCAUGCUAGGUGAUGGAUGAAGAUGUGGACUCAAUAGAUUUUUUAUGCCACCUAGCAAUGACCAUGACCCAUUGGCCCAAAAUCUUGUUUUGCUUUUCAUUGCCAAAUGUUUCUUUAAUGCGUGGGAUUUGCCCACCUUUUUGCCACCAAGUAUAUGCCUUUCUUCACCAACUCAUCUACAAAAAUGCCCCUUCCUUCUUUAUUACUUUUGUUAUUUUUUUUAGAGAGACGAAUGCUUUGAUAUUUGGAAGGGAUUUGCUCAUGCAGGUUUUUGAAAUUUAAGAGCUUAUUUCAAGGUCUUAAGUUUAUCAUAAAAACUUAAUUUUGACUUAUAUAAUUAUUUUUUUUAAUUAUAAUUUUGGGUUUAAUUUUUUACUUUAAGUUAAAACAAAAAAUUAAGACCGAAGGAUUAAAAAUUAAAUUAAUUUUCAAUAUGUACUAUUAAUAGGGCCUAAAUUCAAUUAAUAAUAUGAAGUGUAGAAUGAUCGGGGCCUUAAAAAUUAAGGGUGAGAAGACAUCCAUACUUUGAAAAUCACCAUUUAGUGCAGCUAUGGUGUUUGGUGAAAUGCUUAAAAGAGGGUAAAUUCCAAAAAGUUAAAAAUUUUGCAUGCUUAAAUAAAAAUAGUUGCGGACUAAAGUCUAAAACCCAAAAAUGAAAUCAUUUCAUUUUAAAGGUACAUUAAAAGCCAGACCUCUCUAUCAUCCGGUCAAACUCCACAAACAGCGACAGUGUCAUAAUCGUAAAUAAAUCCUGAAACACGGGCACUAGAAAAGCCAUAUUUUCAGACAAUAGAUACAGUGACAGGAGCGAUAUAUAAGUCUUCACUCUCCAUUUUCGCUCUGCUUUCUCUCCCUGUCCACUCCACACACAAAUCACCGUCUCUGAAACUCUAACGCUUAGAUCUGAGCGCACAAACCCCACAAACCCUAGCUCCAACCACGAUCUGGGUCAGCAUUAUCUGCUUCGUCUCUGAUUUUAUCAUUUAGUUGCAACUCCUCAUUCUUUACUCUUUAGAGUGGCUGUUUCUGGGUUCUUUUGUUCAAUGCUGUUUGGUUACUGGGUCAGGCUUGUUCAGGGGAGAUCCUGUGUUUUUUUUUGAAGUUGUUCAUUUUUUGGUUGUGGUUUAUGUAGGGUUAGGGGUAGUAUUGGUGUGGAUUUUUUCCUACUGCGGGUUUACAGAUGUAAUUUGAUUUGUUUGUCGGGGUUGAGUGGGAUGGUUGGGUGGUAGGUUGUUCGUUGUUGAGAAAAUGGUGAAAGUGUGCGGAAAUUGGGAGUUUGGAUUUGUUGUUACCGGGAUCUGAGAGAACAUAACCUCCCUGGACUUGGUGUUAUGAGUUUGUGAUUCUGUUUUUAAUGACCUAAUUUGGUGUAUUAAUUGGGUUUCAGUGGGAUGAUCUAGUAGUACUCUGUUUGGUUCCUGAGAAAAUGGCGGAAAUAUAAAGAAAUUGGGAGUUUGGAUUUUUUGUUGUUAGGAUCUGAGAGAAAAAACUUCAUAUCUUGGGGUUUGGGGUUGUUGUGCUUCUUGACGGUGAUGGAUGGAUGAUUUAGGGUUGGUAAUUGUGAUAAGUACAGAAGGUUGAUGAUAGUGACUGAUGGACAUCUUUAUAAAAUUAAGGGGUGGGUUUUUGUGUUUUGCUUGAUUGAGGAGUUUGUGAUUUUGUUUACUGCUAUAUUUUGGUCAGUCAAUUGCCUUCUGAGUAAAGUGAUCUAGUAGGCGUCUACUUGGCUGCUAACAAAAUGCGGGAAAUGAAAAGAAAUUAGAAAUUUGUUAGUUGGGAUCGGAAGACUAAAACCUCCUGACUUUGGGAUUUCGAGGUUGUUGUGCUUCUUGAUUAUGAUUGAUAUAAAGCUUACAGGUAGUGAGUGUGAUAAGUAUAUGACAGUGAUUGAUAGACCUUUUUUGAUAUUAAAAGGGUGGGUUUUUUUAUCUUUAGUUCUAUAAGAUGGUUAGUUUAUUGGUUGAGUAGAGUGAUCUAGUAAAGGUCUAUUUGGUUGCUGAGAAAAUGCAGGAAAUGAAAGGAAAUUACAUUUUUGUUUAUUUUUAUUGUUUGGGGUCUGAGAAAACAGAAUCUACAGCUGAAUUGGAGUUUUGAGGUUCUUUGUGAUUCUUGAUUGUGAUGGAUUUAAGGCUUAGGACUGGGGAUUGUGAUAAGUGAAGAAGGUAAUGAAAGUCAUUGACAGAUAUUUGUGUGAAAUUAAGGGCUUGGGGUUGGGUUUGGGUUUCUUGAAGAAGAUUGUGCUUGUGUUUUUAGUGCUAUAAUUUGGUUAGUUGAUUUUGAGUAGAGUGAUCUAAUAAUGGUUGGUUUUGUUGCUGAAAAAGUGUAGGAAUGAAAAUAAAUUAGAAUUUUGGAUUUUUUUAAAAUGAUCUGGGAUACAAGAGAACAGAAUACACAUCUUUGGGUUUUCACUCUGUUGUGGCACCUGAUUUGAUGGAUUUAUGGUAUGUGGGUAGUGGUUGUGAUAAUGUAGGGGUCAAUGACAUUGAUUGAUGGGCAUUUUUUGCGAGAAUGAGGGGUUCAGAUUAUCAUUGAUCAAGUAGCGUGGUUUGGGUGGAGUGAUCUAGUAAUGGUCUGUUUGGCUGCUGAGAAAAUGUGGGAAAUGAAAAAAGGAAGUAGAAAUUUGAAAUUUUUUUGAAGUUCCAUUUGAGAGAACAUUACGUCUUCUGAUGGGUUUUGAGUUUGUCUUGCUUCUUGAUUGUGAUGACUGUACGGAUCCUGGGUAGUGAUUGAUGCAUAUUUUAGUAAUGGGGUGGUUUUAUUUGAUUCUCAUUUAGUGGUUACAAAGUUUAUAGCUUUUUUGUUCUUAGUUCUAUAAUUUGGUAAAUUGAGUAGGUUUUAGUAGAAUGAAUUACUAUCCCCUGUUUGAUUGCUGGGUAAUGCUGGAAAAGAAAGGCAUUAAAAUUUUGAAUUGGCUUUAUUUUUUUUAUUACCUUUCUUUCCAGAAUCUCAGAAAACAUGCUUUUGUUUUGGGACAACCAAAACCUCAUAAAAGAUGAGUGCUAAAUCCAGUCUUCUUGGUUACCAAAGAAAAUUUCAGGUUAAACUGUUUUGAAACUUACAAUCUAAUAAUACUGUUUUCCAUUUCUUUUAUUAUUGAUAAGAAAUGCUUGGUGAAAUCUGAUUUGGAACUAAUUCAUGUGCCAGAUUUAGUAUCAAUUUGAUAAGAUGAAGUACUUGUUAAUUAAUUUAUUUUGGGCUAUCAUUUUUUUUUCUCAAAGAAAUGAUAUUGACAUAUAGUCUGCCCUCUGGUGGAUUUUGAUUCCAUCAUGCAACCAGAGAGGUUCUGCAGUAGAUCUGCUUUAAGCCUAUAUUGACACAUUGACACUCAACUGUAUCUUAUAUAUAUAUAUAUAUAUAUAUAUAUUUUCACUCAUGUUUCAGCUGUAAGGGGGUGAGUGUCUCUUUCCUGUACAUCUUUGGGUCUCUAUUUUAGCGCCUCGUCGUAAUACAAUAUUUUUACUUAUUUAUAAAAUAUAUAUAUAUAUAUUUAUUUUUUUUCAACAAGCUCUGUGUCUAGGUGAGCUUGAGCUUUGAAUACAGGGCCCACCAAUUUUGUCUCAUCUUUCCUUUUUCGAUUUUCUGGAUGCACUGUUAGUAUUGUUUUAUGCGACUUCUUGGUCAUUGUCCUGACUGUUUGUUUGGUCUUAUUCUAUCAACACACUGACAGGAGUUUAUGUUAUGUGGUCAUUUGUACUGACUAUUUGUUUGGUCUUAUGUAAUGGAUGNNNNNNNNNNNNNNNNNNNNNNNNNNNNNNNNNNNNNNNNNNNNNNNNNNNNNNNNNNNNNNNNNNNNNNNNNNNNNNNNNNNNNNNNNNNNNNNNNNNNGUUAUGCUUAUGUUGUGGAGUGCUGUUUCUUGCUGGUUAGUAAGGUAAGCAUGGUUCUGUGUUUAUGACAUGCAUGUCAUAUCUGUUAUGUAGUUAGAAAUGCUUUGGGUAUGUAAAUGUGUACAUACAUGUAUAUAAUGAAUGUCUUUCGAAUGCUAUUUGCAGGUUGGAUUGUAGUAUUAACGUAAAUGGCAGUGGCAGAUGCUGAAAUUCCUCUCCUUGGAGAAACUACUUGUGGUUCAUUGCUGCAGAAAUUGCAGGCAAUUCAUACUUAAAAACUUCUUUGGUCAUUGUUUACUUUGUGAUAUAUUAGUGUUAUAAGUAGACCUUGCAUACUGAGGAACAGGGCAAAUACGCUAAAUGCUGUAAACCAUGGUUUAAUGCAGCAAAUCUGGGAUGAGGUUGGUGAAAGCGAUGAGGAACGUGAUAAAAUGCUCCUUCAGUUAGAGCAAGAGUGCUUGGACGUUUAUAAGAGGAAGGUUGAUCAGGCUGUGAAAUCGAGAGCACACCUUCUUCAGGCCUUGGCAGAUGCCCAACUUGAACUCUCCCGUCUUCUAUCAGCACUUGGAGAGAAAAGUUUUGUUGGAAUUGUAAAUAAUUUUACACUUAUCAUAUUGAAUGGGUUGUAUGCUUGAUGGCUGUAAAGCUUGGUUGCUGAUGGAUUUCUUUGCUUUGGUUUACAGCCUGAUAAAACUUCUGGCACAAUCAAGGAACAGCUUGCAGCUAUAGCACCGACGCUCGAACAGCUGUGGAAACAGAAAGAAGAGAGAGUGAAGGAGUUUUCUGAUGUACAGACACAGAUUCAAAAGAUAUGUGGAGAAAUUGCUGGGAACUCAAAUCUUAGUGAGGUUCCUGUGGUUGAUGAGGCUGACCUAUCCUUGAAGAAGCUGGAUGAAUUUCAGGGCCAACUCCAAGAACUCCAGAAAGAAAAGGUAAAAUUAUAGAUCAGUUCACACUAUAUUAGUUAUGGACUUUUAUGCUAGCCCAUAUGUCUUCAGGAUCACCACCAAUUAAUUAUUUGAUCUGCCAGAGUGACAGGUUGCACAAGGUCCUUGAGUUUGUGAGCACUGUUCAUGAUCUAUGUGCUGUCCUUGGGAUGGACUUCUUUAAUACUGUUACUGAAGUUCAUCCUAGCUUAAAUGACUCAACUGGUGUGCAAUCCAAAAGCAUUAGCAAUGACACCCUUUCUAGGCUGGCUAAGACAGUCUUAGCACUAAAGGAAGACAAGAAGCAGAGGCUACAGAAGGUAAAAUUUUUAGUGUUCCUGCUUUACCUGGUUAGUAUUGUGCGAAGAGUUAAUCGGUAGUUCAUCAUUUUGCUUUAGAUUUUUCAUACAUGGAUGCUCUGGGAGCCAAUGUCCUGGAGAUUUUGCAUCUCAUCUCAUUGUUCUCUUAAAUUAAUCUAUAAUUCUUAUCCUUUCAAUGUCUUGUUGUCUAUAUAUUUCAGCCUCUUUGUCCCCUAUUCAUAUGAGAUCUAUAUAUGUUUUUUCGCUUUGAAAAUCACUGCACCUGUUGGUUGCUACGACAAAAUGAAUUAUUCUUUGAUGUGUCUCCUCUCCACAGCUUCAAGAGUUAGCCACUCAGCUAAUUGAUCUGUGGAAUCUGAUGGAUACCCCAGAGGAGGAGCGGAGUUUGUUUGAUCAUGUUACCUGUAACAUAUCUGCUUCAGUUGAUGAAGUGACCAUCCCUGGUGCCCUUGCUCUGGAUCUGAUUGAGCAGGUAUUUGGCUUCAGAACAGUAAUGCUUAAUUUUGGCUUCAGAAUAGUAAUGUUUAAUGGAUAAUGCUGGCAGUUUAUUCAUUUUACUUUGUUUUCCUUUUGUUGCUAAGGCUGAGGUGGAAGUUGAAAGGCUUGAUCAACUGAAAGCCAGCAGGAUGAAGGAAAUUGCUUUCAAGAGGCAAGCUGAGCUCGAAGAGAUAUUUGCCCGUGCUCACAUAGAAAUAGAUCCAGAGGCUGCUCGAGCAAAGAUUAUGUCACUUAUUGAUUCUGGGGAUGUUGAGCCUUCUGAGUUACUGGCCGAUAUGGACAAUCAAAUAACAAAAGCAAAGGAAGAGGCUUUCAGCAGAAAGGAUAUAUUAGACAAGGUUGAGAAAUGGAUGUCAGCUUGUGAAGAAGAGAGUUGGCUUGAAGACUACAAUCGGGUAUCCUCUCUCUCUCUCUCUCUCCCCCUCCCUCCCUGGAUUCGUUGUGGAUUAGAUCCACCUUGAUUAGGAAUGCUCAUUUGUGCUCUCUGCAAUGUUGUUGCACUCCUAUUCAAGCCAUUAGCCUAACAGCAAAUAGAGCUUUGUCAGCAUCAAUGUGGUCGUGCAACUUGCUUGUCUGUCCCAAUCCUGAACUAAUUGUUUAUCAUGCAUUUUGAUUGGCCUUAUUGUUGCAAACCACUGAUCCUUGUUUCUUGCUAAAACAAUAUUUUUGGAUCAUGACCACAACCACAAUUUGGGCUUUAUCAAAUACUGAUGUUCAGUGCAAAAAGUUUCUUCUAGUCAUCUAAUCUAUUUUCUAUGAAGGUUGACUGCCAAAAUAUGGUUGCGUGGUUGGAAUAACACUGUUGGACCAAUAAUUAGUCUGUUAAAUGCUAUGGAUGCCAGUGUGGAUUAUGAUAUUCCUAACCUAUGGAUUAAAACAUGUACGAUUAGAGGUGGAUUAUGAUGUUCCACAGCCGGUAUGGAUUAUGAUAUUCCUAACCUGUGGAUUAAAACAGCUAUGAUUAGAGCUAGAUUUGAAACUGACUCCCUUCUAAAGAAGAGAAAUGGACUAUACCACCAAACUAAGUUUGUUAUUUUAGUUGGAUUUUGCCCCUGCCUCUACUUUCUGGCUCUGCUACUGUUCCUAACCUUCCAAUGUAAUUCAGGUAUAGUUGCAAUUAGGUUCAAUAUUGAGUUUCGAUCUAAAUAUUUAUCUUGCCCAAUUGGAUGACUUUGAGUUCCAAAUCGAAACAUUUCUCAUGCCUAAUCUAGGCCUUUUAUGCACAGUGCCCUCCCUAGUCAAGAAUGAUGAAAAUAGAGAAUAGCUCCUUUGGUUUUGUGUGAAUUUAUAAAAAAGGAAAGAAAAUUUAGUAAUCCCAUUACUUUGUCCUAAAAUCAUGUAAAUUCUACUGGAAAAAAUAAUAUAUGUUGAAGAAGAGGAAAGAACGAAAAGAAAAAAAAAAUGCACACUCCUGGUUAACUCGUUCUGACUUUCAUGUCAAAAGACACCAAUCUACUGCAAAAACAGUUGGUCAUGAUCAUCUUUAAUACCUCUGAUUUGCUAUGAUGACUGGCAGCUAUGAAUGAUAAUUAUUUCUCUUAAAUAAAUUCUACUUUCAGGACCUUAAUGAUUUUCUUCAAUUCUAUUAUGUCGACAACUCAAAAGGACAUCCUCCUUUUUUCGUUGUUAUUGGAGUACUUUUUCCCUGAUACUCUAUAGCAACCAGCAGUCUCCUGGCAAUACAUCUCUUCUUAAUAUUUAUUGAGAGUGCUCAUUCCUCUGUUGCCUAGUCAAGUUGACAUAUUCCUCUCAUCCCAUCUUUUAUGAAAAAUUAUGGGAGUGAGUUUCCCAUGUACAUGGCUUGAACUUAAUUUAAUUCUUGGUAUUUUUGGGGUUUUUAGCUCAACUUGAUAUUGCCUUGCCGAAACAGGAUGAAAACAGGUAUAACUCAAGCAGAGGUGCACACUUAAAUCUCAAGCGUGCUGAAAAAGCUCGGAUUUUAGUCAACAAAAUUCCAGGUAUGUAAAGAAAUCACACUUAGUACAAAGAUUAUAUUUUGAAUAACAUGAUAUUCAUUACAAAUGGAGUGUUUGUGUUUAUUCAUGUUUGUAGGAUCUUCACUACCACAACUUUGGACAAAUAUAUGAGUAUAAAGUUGACUUAAGUGGGAUUCUUUACCCAUCAAGAAGCCUUAGUGCCCUUCUUAAUAUAUUGGAGCCGAGGAACUUUAAGAUUUUGCCUAUCAAAAAACUUAACAUUAAGAUUUAAUGGAAGAGUUCAAAAAAGAAUGAAUUGCUUGUGUAGAAACUCUUCAUAAUAUAAGACUUCAAAGACUGGUUAGGUUCUUAGGGCAUGGUUGUUGGUUUUAGUGUAUUCUCGCUUUUGGCCGCUUUGUAUAUGUUGUGUAUUCCUUUUUCUAUUAAUACAGUCUUCAUUUACCUAUAAAAGAAGAAAAAAAAAAAAAAACUCUAAACAAUAGAAGUUUCCUUUAUCCAUGAGUGUGUUUUUGAGCUUUUGUUGUGUGUAUGGUAGAUGAAAGGUGAAAACUGAUAAUUUCAUUAAAAAGAAGAAGAUAAUCCAUGCUGUUAUGUUAGCUUGGCUUGAUGUGCUUAUUAUUGGAUGGUUUUCUUGGCUCUGUAGCUCUUGUUGACACAUUGGUUGCCCAAAACUGGGGCAUGGGAAGAAGAUCAUGGUAUACCAUUUACUUACGACGGUGUUCCUCUCCUUGCCAUGCUAGAUGAAUAUGCUAUGCUCAGGCAUGAUAGAGAAGAAGAGAAGCGGAGAAUGAGGGUAAGGCUAACUAGAUUGCUUUGUGAAGGUCAGAUGGGCUCAAGCAUGUUUCCACAUUGGACCCAAUUAAUUCUGACAUGACCUCAAUCCUACAUGAGCUUUUGGUGUUUAUUCAUCACCAUUCUAGGCUAUUUGUUUCUUGUACUAAAUUGGGUAUAACAUCUAUAAAUGACAGGAUCAGAAAAAGUUCCAUGAGCUGCUAAACACAGAACAGGAAGCCAUUUUUGGUUCGCGGCCAAGUCCUGGUCGCCCACUUGGUCCAAAGAAGGUGGUGGGACCACGAGCAAAUGGAGGUGCGAAUGGAACUCCUAGCAGGCGGCUCUCUCUGAAUGCAAAUCAAAAUGGUGCGAGGUCUACAUCUAAAGAUGGGAAGAGGGAUAAUACCAGGCCGGUUGCCCCUGUCAACUAUGUUGCCAUAUCAAAAGAAGAUGCUGCCUCACAUGUUUCUGGUACAGAACCAGUUCCAGCUUCACCUUGAUGAAACAAGAGACGAGAGAUGAGAGAGCUGUGAUUUUACACCCCUGUGAUAUUAGUGUUGUUAUUAGUAGUUUUCUGCUGUAGGGAUAUAUCUUUGAAACGAUGAGGGAGUAAGUGGCAGUAAGGGAGUAGGGACUGUUUUCUAGCUGUGUAUGUCAAAUUUAGCAUCUGGAAGCUUUUAAAAUUCAUGCAGCAGUUUCAUUUGUAUUGUAGGAUAUGCUUUUGGAUGCCUGCCUCUGGCAAUAAAAAUCUUGGUCUAGCUCAGAUAGCUGCAUGUUUCUUUUUUUCCCCCAAGUUUCUUAUCUGGGCAGGGAUUCUUGUGGUUCCAAAUCAUCCCACCAGGCCUUAGCAAGAACACCCAUAAGUGUAUUUGUGGAGGAAGUUGGGGAAACUUAAAGACAUGCAUCUCCAGGCAUCCUUGCCUAGGGGAAACCCCUGUUUGCAAAUAAGCAGUGAAUCUAUUACAAAAGCAAUUCAAGCAUUUUUCACUGCAGGAAAGCCUCUGGGCCUCAUACAUUGUCACCCUCUCUUUUUAUUUUUCCACUGUUUACCUUUUUCCUGGUUUUAGGAUUUGUUUGGUAAUGGCAAUCAAAUUAGUUUUUCAAAACUGUUUUCAUUUCCGUUUAUGGAAAUGAGAGCAAUGAAUAGACUAGGUGAUGAAUAAUUAAUUAGGACUUUUGCUUGGAAACAUUAUUUAUUUUUUAAAAUAAAAAAUGAGAGUAAUUUUUAUAUAAAAUAUAUAACUUUUAGGGUGUGUUUGGUAUUGGGAAUGAGGUGUGCAAUAGACUUCUCAUUCUAUGUUUGAAUAAAAAUAAAAUUAAAAAUGAUUUUAGUGUUCAUCCUAAUUAAGAGGUAUUUUGAUUUCAUAAUACAAAUAAUUUUUAAAAAAUUUAAAAACUAAAAACUUUAUUAUAUAAGUUGUUUUCAAAAGUAAUUUUUUAUUUUGAUUUUGUAAAAAACACAAAUUAUAAAUUUAAUUUUUUAAUUAAAAAUAAAUAAAAUAAAUAAAUAGUUUUUAAUAAAAUAUAAAUAUUGAUAAUAUAGUACAAUCAUAAAUUAUAUUCUUUUAUAAAUAUUAUCCAAAUAUAGAUAUUAACCAUUUCUAUUACUAUUCAUAUGAUUUUAUAAAUAUUAUAAAAAAUAUGGAUAUUAAUAUCUUAUAAAAGCAUAAUUAAUUUAUUUUGUUAAAAAUAAAGAAUAAUUAUUCAAAUUUAAUAAUUGCUAAUACUAUUCUAUUUUCAAUGAAUAUAAAUAAAUAAAAUUUAAUUUUUUUCAAGUAUAAAUGGAUCAAAAUUUUCAUUAUAUGCAUGCAUUUAUUACUUAAUUAUGAAGAUAACAUUUUGAAUUAUUCUAUUUAAUCUAUAAUUAAUUAACCGGUUUUUUUUUAAUUUCAUAUUAUUCUUAAAAACUACAAGAUUUAUUAAAAUAAGAAAAAAAUGGGUUUUGACUAAUUAAUAUGAAAAUAAAAAAUUAUUUUAAACUAUAUACAAUCAGAGAUUUUUUUUAAAAUAAAAAAAAAAUUUAAAUAAUAUGUAUAAAUAUUAUUGGUAAUUUAUUUUUUUCAUUUUUAAUCUCAUUUUUACUUAACAUUGAAAUGACAACAAAUUAUCAUUCUAACUUUACAUUUCAGUAUCAUCUAAACACAAUAUUAUAAUUACCAAAUUCAAUUUUAUUUAAUGGGAAGAAAAAUGAAAACAAGACGUUGAUUCUUAUUCUAGUUAAAAAAAAAAAAAAAAACAUAGGAAAUAUAUCUCGAUUAUGUUUCUAUUUUAAAAAAAAUAGAAAAAGGUAUUAUGUUUUUAUUUUUAAAAAUAGAAAAAGGUGAAAAUAAACUAUAUUGAAAGAAUAAUGAUUAUGAUAACUUGUUUAAAAAGUAUAAAUAUUAAUUUUUUAUUACAUUAUAUUUUAAAAAAUAUAAAUAAGUCUAUUUUUUUUAUAAGAGUUCUUAUAUUUUAUAAAAGGACUAUUAUUAUUUUUAAUUUUUGAAAAUUGAAAUUUCACUCCAAAGACAAAAUUUGUAAGGGCACUAUGAUAACUAUUUUUGAAAAUAAUCAUCAAAAAUAAUUUUUAAGAUGAUUUUUUAUAAAAUAAAAAUCAAUUUAGAAACCUAAAAUAUUUUUAACAUGUUUUUAAUAUUUUUAAAUAUAAUUUUUAUAUCUAAAAUUUUAGUAAUAAAAAUAAUAAAAUAUAAUUGAAAGAUGUUCACUAAAAACAAUAUAAAAAACGAUUUUUGAUUUCCAAACAUAUUUUUUAUAUUUUUUAUUCUAACAAACUAAAAAGUAAAACUGUUGUAAAAAGGAGUUUCCGAAUAAGUUCUAAAUCUAUUUUCAUAUUUUAUCUCCCUCUUUUUUGGGUUGGGGCAAAGGAUCCGUACAAAAGCGACGUCGUGUUGAAGUAAUAGACAAUUUAAAAAGAGGAGGCUGUGAUCAAUAAGGAAAGAUCAACUCAAAAUUCCUUGAAGCAGAAGCAGUCUUUGAAAGCAGGGUGAUGGCCAGCGAAAACGAGCCUGCCAAACUCCUUCUACCCUACCUUCAACGCGCCGAUGAGUUGCAGAAACACGAACCCCUCGUCGCCUACUACUGUAUUUCCCUCAGCUUCUUCCCUUUUUCUCUCUCCCUAUAAACCCUAGCCUUUAAUUCUUCAAUUCCUUGUCUCUGUUUUUUUUUUUUUUUUUAAUUACAAAUCUUUUGCAAUUUUUUCAGGUCGAUUAUAUGCGAUGGAAAGAGGGCUGAAAAUUCCUCAAGGCGAGCGUACCAAGACCACCAACUCCCUCCUCAUUUCCCUCAUGAAACAGCUAGAAAAGGUCUAUUUUUUCUAUAUCAUAUUUCUAGGAUGCCUUUUUUUUUUGGGUUGGAAUUUUCUUGCUCUUUUUUUGAAUUUUCAGGGAUGCGUUAUUUUUCUUACGCUGUUUGAUGAAAUGUGUUUGUUUGGUAGCUGGGAAACUCGAGGGAAAGAGAUUGAAAAUUGGGAAUUUGGACAAAUUUUGACUAAUCGUGUUAUAAAUAUUUGAAUGCUUUGACUUCUUUGUUGGGGAAAUUUCGUGAGUUUUUUUCAAUUUCAACGAUUCCCAAGAUUUGUGGUAAAUACUUUAGCCAGUCCAUGUAUUAAAGCUGUUUAGACUAGUUUCUUGAGACCUCUUUCGAUGCUCAAAUGUAACCUGUUUUGAAAUAUUUUGUGUUGUUGAUUAUAGUAAGUAUGUCUGCAAUGAGAAACACCUACCAUUUAAUGAUUUGUUCUCUUUUUAUUUUGUGAUGGUUCUGGUUAGGUGCAAAUUUGGCAUCUUUGUAGUGGGAAUUUCUGAUAUUUGCAAUUAAUAAUUUUCUUGCAAAAUUGUAUUUCCACUAUGGUAAAUGCCAAGGCAUCAUAUAUAUGGAGCCCAAAGGUACUAGUCAUUAGUGAUUACUUGAAAUCUGUAUAGCCUUUGCACCUUACUUCUGUCUACUGUUAUUGGUCUUUUACAGGAUAAGAAGGCAUUGAAAUUGGGGCCUGACGACCACUUGCACUUGGAAGGAUUUGCCUCAAAUGUUUUUGCAAGAGCAGACAAGCAGGAUCGAGCUGGACGAGCAGAUUUGUAUGUCUAACUUUUUACCUUAUGUAUGAUGGUUUUAAAAUUGUUUGAAGGUUGUGCCUUGAGGCUCACCUCUAAUAUAACUGUAGAGGCUUCAAUUCCUUGAGGCACAUGGCUCAAAGUGUGAGGUGCUGAUUGAGGAUCCAUUUAUGAUUUUCCUUUUCAGUUUUAUUUAUUUAUUAUUAUUAUUUUUUAUAAUUUAAUUUUUUUACGUGUUUUGUAUGUUACCCAAAUAUUCAAAUUUGACAAUCUGGCACAAAGCCAUAAAUCAUAAACAAAUUUUGGAGAAAUAACUUGCAGGAAGGGGCUUUUAUUUGUCGGAUUGUUUGUUGUUGUAAGUGGUGUAACAUAGGAUGUAUUUAGUUUGCUCUUAGAGGUGGUGCUAGUAUAAAAUAAACGAUACUUCUGGUCCUGAUCAUCUCACUUUAUUUAUCAAAUUGGAUCGUCUAGAGUUUGUCUGCACUGCUUGGGAAAAUCUGAGGAGCUAGUGUUAAUAUGACAUAAAGGAUGUUUUUAGCACUAGUCACCUUGAUCUAUUUAUUCAAUUGGAUCUUCUAGAGUUCCACCCAUCUUACCAUAAAAAUCUCAAUACAUAGCGGAAUCUCAAUCUUAAUAGUUCAUUACCAGAAACUAUGUGGUGAGAAUCACUUAACUCAUUUAUAUUAGAAAAAGAAAUAUUUGGUUCUAUUUCACGUUGAUGAUUGUUGUAACAGUGUUUUAAGUGCUCUAUGUCAACCUACCUUACAUUCCUUGAUGGUGGGGGAUAGUGGUUCUCAUAGCUAACUUAAAUGGUUGGAAUGAGGAUGGCUUGAGCUUAUCAUAGAACUGAAAUGUGGUUUUCCUUGACAAAGUAAUUUUUUUGUUUACUUCUUUGUUACUUGUUGGCUAGCCCAUGGGCUUUCUAUGGAUUUUUGGCAUAUUGUUGAGAUUUUCUUAAGAAUGAAGUGUCGUCUUUCUUUAAAGAGUUCUAUGAGAAAAGGUUUUUGUAUAUCAAGUUUGAGGUUCUCUAUAUGGGUCAAUGGCAUGAUAACAAGUUUUUUGUUGAGCUCAAGGUGCUUAAGGUAGGCAGACCACCUCUCUCCUUAUUAUUUGUCUUGGCGAUGGAAGCCUUAAUCUUUUUCUAAGAAGGCAAGAGGAUGGUGGUCCUUUUUUAGGGUUUAGGGGGGAAUGCGUGGUUUGUGGAGGUUUCUUGCAUCUUCUCUUUGCUAAUGACAUCCUCCUUUUCUGUGAGCCUUGUGAUAUGUAGAUGACUUAUUUGAGGUGGGCCCUAUUUUGGUAAGAUAAUCUACAAAAGAGCAAACAAAUUUUGGUAGGCAAAAAAUUGUCUUCUCCACGAAGCUAGUCUUUUGGGAGGUGGUAGAGGAGAAGCUUUGCAAAAGACUAGCUUCACGGAGAUGAUGAUUUUUUUCUAAGGGUGAGAGACUCACUUUGUUAAAAUGUACUCUUUCUAGCCUCACUUACUUCAUGUUCUUGCUUGUUAUCUCUAUAGUGGUGUGCUUGAGGCUUGAAAAGAUUAAACAUGAUCUCCUUUGGAAAGGUGUUGUUCUUAAAAAGAAACCCUAUUUGGUAAACUAACUGACUAAGGAGGUCUUGGUAUCAAAGUUUUAUCAUCUCUCAAUAAAGCCUUAUUGGGAAAAUAGUUUUGGAGAUUUGUUGUAAAAAAGGUUCGUCUUUGGAUGCAUAUUAUUAUAGGGAAAUAUUGGAAGGAGCCAAGAGGUUAGUGUUCUUAUAUAAGGAGGGAUGCAAUGGGGUUGGUUUAUGUAAAGCAUUCAUAAAAGGUUAAUGGGGAGUGUGAAACUAGAAUUAAAAUUAUAGUGAGUGUUAUUAUAGAAGGUUACCUUUAGAGGCGGAUUAUUGUAGGAAAUAUGGAGAGUAACCAGGAGGUUGGUGUUCUUUUAUUUAUUUAUUUUUUGAUAAGUAAGAGAAUGUAUUAAAAAGUGCUAAAAGCGCACAAUAGUACACAGGAAGUAUACAAAGUAUACUUGACAAAAAAUAGGAAAGAAGGAACACACAAUGAAUACUCCCUCCCUCAUCUAAGCCCCAACCAAUCUAAGAAGUCAACCAUUUUUGUAUACCCACCGCCUAUAUACACCCUAACCCACAUAGAGAGAUUGUUAAGGAAAAUACUCUUUAGCCUUUGAUUAGACACUUCCUCACGAUCAAAGAAUCUCUUAUUUCUUUCCUUCUAGAUCGUCCAGAAAAUGUAAGGAGGAGCAGCUCUCCAAGCCUUAAUACGCCUUCUAUCUACAAAAAAGUCAUGCCACCCUAGGAGAGUCUCCCUAACUGACUCAAAUAAAACCCAUUGAACACCAAAAAUGGAGAACACCAACUCCUCUUUGCACAAAGCACACUUGUUAGUUAACUUCCAUACUCUUCUUUAAAGCUGAUCCAGCGUCAAAACCUUUCCAUAGUAAGCCUUCCAAGUAAAUAAACUCACCUUCACAGGGAUCCAUGAGUUCCAAAUUAUCUUUAGAGGGAAAGGAGUGGAAUAAUUUGUCUCCAACAAAGAGUAAAACCUUCUUACAGAGAAGGCCCCUUUGUUAUCUUCGUUCGACACUACUCUAUCCUCCUCCAGCUUCAUAUUUUGUCCUUGGAGCUUAGAAAGAAACCUCUCCAUAAUGACCAACUCCUAAUCGUUUAGAUUCCUAACAAAAUAAAAGUUCCAAUUUCCUUCUUCCCCAUUUUGCUCCUAAAAAUCAGCUACCCAUGCCUCCUUUGAACUUGAAAGAGCAAACAAGGAACAUAGUUGUGAAAGGCGCGGUGGCGUGACACCACCCUCCGGUGCCUCGCUUGAAGGCAGGUGAUGCCCCUUCAAGAAGACGCCUCUUAGGCGCGCAAGGCGCGACACAGUCCAUAAGUGCGCCUCGAUCCCUUAUCUCCUUCUUCUCCUUCUUCUUCGACGUCGGGUUGCAGAGGGCAGAGAGAAGCCCUAAUUUCUUUUUUUUUUUUUAAUUUUUUGUGACCAAAACGACUGUUCUUUUAAAAGAGCAGGGUCCAAAACGACAUUGUUUUGGAUCUUUUUAAAAAGAACAAGCCAAAACGACGCCGUUUUGGAGCCUGUUCCUUUAAAAUAAAAAAUAGGCCAAAAUGACGCCAUUUUGGCCUUCUUUUCCCUUCCAACCACCUUUUCUGGUUGUUUUCAACUGGACAACUCUCCCAAAUUUUGCCCUAGCCUAAGCUGUGCAGUGGAGAAGUGAAGAAGACGAAGAAGAGGAGGAAAAAUAGGGGAAAAAUAUAUGUAAAUUAGGGUGCGCCUCACUUCACUAAAGCCCGCUCCUUAGGUGCGCCUUGCGCAUCAGGCUUCAGGACUACUUUGCACCUUGAUGCGACUUGAGCCUUUUAAAACUAUGACAAGGAAAAAUCUCACAUAAGGGUUGCUCACUAUACCACCUAUCUUUCCAAAACUUCACUUUACUCCCAUUAUCCACCUUAAAGGAAAUCUUUGUAUUGAAAAACUCUCACUGCUUCCCAAUCUCUUUCCAAACCCCAACCCCAUAGGCCUCUCUGACCUCUCUUGACCUCCAGCCCCCUUCUUCCUCCCCAAACUUUCCCUUUAUGAUUUUCUUCCACAAUGAAUUUCUUUCACUAGAGAAGUGCUAACACCAUUUGCAAAGAAGAGCCUUAUUAAGCAAAAAAAGAGAGUAAACACCUAAUGCUCCUUUCGAUUUUUCUUUUCAAACAGAAGACCACUUGACUAGGUGCAUUUUACUUUACAAACAGAAGACCACUUGACUAGGUGCAUUUUGUUUUCUAAUAAUGCCCCUCCCCCCCAAAGAAAAUCCCUUUGAAUCUUCUCUAAUCUAAACCUAAAAAUUCUUGGCAUGGUGAACAAAGACAUAAAAUAUAUUGGUAAACUAGCAAGAGUACUGUAAAGUAAAGUAAGUCUUCCCCCUUUUUGAGAGAUAUUGUCUCUUUCAUAACGAAAGCUUCUUUUGAAACCAUUCUUCAACCCCAUCCCAAAUUGCCACCGACUUGUAAGGAGCCCCUAAGGAAGCCUUAGGUAAGAAGAAGGCAACUUUCCCACCUUGCACCCAAUUUUGCAAGCCAAAUUUUCCACAUUGUCCACCUCCCCAACUAGAACCAUCUCGCUUUUUUCCAAGUUAAUCUUCAACCCCAACAUAGCCUCAAACCAUAUGAGAAGCCAACACAAGAAAGUGACUUGCUCCUGAGAGGCCUCACAAAAAGGAAAUGAGAUGUCUCUUCACCCCACCCCCUCUUUACCCAACCUUGAAUCUUGAAAUAUAACCACCAUCCCGAGAUUUCAAGAGCAAUCUACUAAGGGUCAUUGUCUCAAUCCCCUUGAUCUUUGAAACAAGCCAAUAGGAGAGCCAUUAAUUAAAACAGAGAAAUUAGCUAAAGAGAUGCACCAUUUUAUUCAAAUUAUCCAUUUUGCUCGAAACCCAUCUUGCCAAGAAUCGCUAGCAAAAAGUCUUAAUUCACAUGAUCAUAAACUCACAAUAUUAAGCUUACACAUCAUCCCACAAUCUCUCUUCUUUAACGUUGAAUCAACUACCUCAUUUGCUAUCAACAUUGCACCUAAAAUUUGUCUUCCUUCCACAAAGGGAGGGUUGUGUCUCGAGUUGGUUUAUGUAAGUGAGGUGGGGAGACCACUUAGCUUGGUUGACCUUUUAGUGCCUUAGUAUAUAUUGUGUAUGCCUGUGCACGCUAUUUUUUUUGGCGCUUUUAAUAUAUUUAAUCUUUACUUAUAAAUUCGUUUAUGUAAAGCAUUCAAAAGAAGUUAGCGGAAAGUUUCAAACUAUUGUCAAAAUUGCAAUGGGUAAUGGUAGGAGAAAGAAGUUUGGGAACGAUGUUUGAUGUGGAUACUUGCUUAUAUGUGUAUCUUUUCUCUCUUUAUUCUAUUGCAGCUUCUAAAGAGGCUUGGUUUGUUGAUCUUUGGGAGGUUUUGGGAAUUCUGGAUUGCUCCAUUCUCUGACCCUAUAUCACAUAGGGUGCAUGCAUCUCUCCUCAACUUCUCUAGAUCUAAAGUAGUGGGAACCUAUGACUAUAAAAACUAUAAAAAUACUAGAUCUAGAGGAGAAAGUAUUAUACCUGUGAUUUGGAUGUUCUUAGAUUUAUUUCCAUCUGAUGAAGACGUCGAGGAAGAUUCUGAAACCGUAGAUAACAUUGUGGAGCUCAUCCACUUGGUGCUCUUCCACCCGACCUCUCCCUCCAUGGAUGCUUAAAACAAGAGAAGGGUGGACUUCUUCCUUGAGGGUGACUAGGGUUCCUCUCUCUAGAAUUUCAGAAAAGUGAAGUGCAAGACUGAAAUCCUAAUCUCUGAGGGGGUUUAUAUAGGUUACCCUGUUGGUCACAUAAUUCAACCCACUUGGGUCCUAAUUAAUUAAUCAGUCCUAAUGGACUCUAAUUAAAUAAUCAACUCAAUCUAGAAAGAACCAUUCAUAAGAUCUAAUGCAUCCUCACGUUUUUACCAAAAUGCCAUAUGCACACUUAUGAAUUAUACACCCAAAAUAGUGUGCCAUCAUGAAUUAAGGAGCUCAAGUAGGGACCAUUGAGACCCAUAGGAAAAUGUUGGCUCCUUUAGAAUCCAAUUCUUAAGUUGAUUCAACACUUUACCAAAGAGAGUCAACCGCACUCUAGUAUCCUAUGAAAUGACGAGACAAAGCUCAAGUCUAUAACUUACUAGUCAUGACAUGCAAACUCCCCAUGAAUUGGUGUUCGUAAUUUAACAGGGUAGUACUAUCAACCCAUUAAGAUUACCUCUCCAAUUCUUGAGUUACAGAUUCACAUAUUAUGUGACCAACUAACAUAUUCUAGUUCCAGGUAACAGAUGUCAAAUUUUACUAAAGAAAUUACUGCGGCCACAAAUUUUAUUGUCAUAUGUUCUUUGGAUUACCCAAGAGGAUAUGUUGUUUUAAUCCCAUCAAAUAUCGUGGUGCUUUUAUUGAGAAUACUUGUUGCCAACAAACUCCAUCAAUAGUGAAUCAAUUCGUAGCGAUAUAUGAUCACUUUAGGGUCUCACCCAUAGGUCAAAGUCUCAUGUUAAUUUCAGCAUAGACUCAAUAUCUUCUCAAGGUUAAGAGUUUAUGUAACAUAAUAACAUGGUGAAUCAUGACAAUCUGAUAGCUUUACGUCAUGAUUCACAGUAAGUCUUGUUCAAUAUGUAACCAUACACACUAGUGCAUUUACCACAAGAAUUACAUCCCAACAACCAAGACAAAUUAUCCCUCUAAUUAGGAGGUAAUGCACUAUAAUCUCUAUUGGAUUGCUCAAAUCCAUGAACUGAUUAUGAAUAACUUAUCAUUCUAUAAAGAAGCCAUGACUUGUAUCUUCUGUGCAAUUCUUGAUGCACUAAAGUCAUGUACAAUGAAAAUGAUAUGGGUUGAAUGGUCAAAUCAAUAUCAAUGCAUAAAAGGGAUAACAAGGGGACAAUGAAAUCUAACUUUGUUACAUCAAAUCUUGCUUUUUGGGGCUCAAUCCCAACAAGAAGGGCAUUGAACCCCUACUUCUUUGGGGAUUCCUAAGAUUAGUAGUUGGAUAGUGUUAUAUGUUAACGAACAAGGCUUCAUGAGGGGCCGAGGCUUAGGGAAGAAGAUGAUAAGUUGUGGGAGAGUCCGAAGUGUGGGAAAUUUUCUAUUAGAUCUUUCUAUGCGAUCAUGGAGUCGCCGAAUGGUGAAACCUUGUUUCUUCAAAAGGAACUUGGUUUCUUAGGCUCCUGCAUAGGUGGUUUUUCUUUUUUGGGAUUAUGAGGCAAAAUUUUGACUUUGGAUCAAUAGAAAAAGAGGAUAGCCUUUGGCAAAUUGUUGUUGUUUAUGUGGAUGCAAAGAGGAAUUGGUUAACCAUCUUCUUAUUCAUUAUGGAACGUAAGAAAUUUGUGGGUUUUGUUGUUCUUUAUGUUUGGUGUUUCUGGAUGCUUCUUAAUACAAUGAAGGAAAUUUUAUCGAGUUGGCAUAGGAGCUUCAUGAGGAAAAAGGGGGAAAAUCUUGGAGAGCUGCUUCUUAUGCUUUAUUUUUGGGCUUUUUGGCAGGAACAUAAUUUCAUAACUUUUGAAGGGGUGAAAUGUUCGGAGCAAUCACUAGAAGUCUUUUCUUUUUAUACCAUCUUAUGGUGUUGUUAGUUCAUAGAUGCUAGGUCCUUGUUUGACCUUAUUGAUUGGUUGGGAAUUGCUCAAUAUUUUUUUGGGUGUUGUUUUUAAAUCAGUUGUGCCUUUUAUGUACCAUGUUGGUUGCACCCCAUCAUUUUUGUUAGCCAUUUUUCUAGUCUUAUAUAUAUAUAUAUAUAGAAGUCUUUUCUUUUUAUACCAUCUUAUGGUGUUGUUAGUUCAUAGAUGUUAGCUCCUUGUUUGACCUAAUUGAUUGGUUGGGAAUUGCUCAAUAUUUUUUUGGGUGUUGUUUUUAAAUCAGUUGUGCCUUUUAUGUACCAUGUUGGUUGCACCCCAUCAUUUUUGUUAGCCAUUUUUCUAGUCUUAUAUAUAUAUAUAUAUAUAUAUAUAUAUAUAGAAGUCUUUUCUUUUUAUACCAUCUUAUGGUGUUGUUAGUUCAUAGAUGUUAGCUCCUUGUUUGACCUUAUUGAUUGGUUGGGAAUUGCUCAAUAUUUUUUUGGGUGUUGUUUUUAAAUCAGUUGUGCCUUUUAUGUACCAUGUUGGUUGCACCCCAUCAUUUUUGUUAGCCAUUUUUCUAGUCUUACAUAUAUAUAUAUAUGGAGAGAGAGAGGUUGUGGGAACUGCUUAGUGUUUUGGGUGUUGUAUAUUUAUUCAGAAAAUGAAGUUCACAUUAAGGUUGUGGGAGCUACUCGAUGUUUGUGGGGGGGGGGGGGGAGAGAGAGAGAGAGAGAGAUUAAGGUUGUGGGAACUGCUCAGUGUUUUGGGUGGUGUUGUAUAUUUAUUCAGAAAAUGAAGUGCGCAUUAAGGUUGUGGGAACUGCUCAGUGUUUUGGGUGUUGUAUAUUUAUUCAGGAAAUGAAGUGCACAUUAAGGUUGUGGGAAGUGCUCAGUGUUUGGGGUGUUGUUUUUCCUCCUGUUAGCAUCCUUUAUGUACUCUCAUUUAUGUGGGUUGCACAAAGAGGGAGGGAAAUUAGUGCCCAUUAAAGGUUGAUUAAAUGAUUUUUGAGGGAGGGAGGGAGGGAAAUUAGAUGGUUCAAGGGAGAGAGGGAAAACUUGGUUGAUGAAAUGAUUUUCAGGGGAGAGGGAGGGUGCUCAUUAAAGGUUGAUGAAAUGAUUUUCGAGGGAGGGAGUAAAAUUAUGUGCCCAUCAGAGGUUGAUGAAAUGAUUUUACUCACAGAUAAAAAGCAUUUCAUUAACCUGAGAGAGAGAUACUCUUUAUUUCUUUUUUUCCCGUCUUCUUUCUUCUUUUGUGUGUAACAAUAAGACUUGCUCUGUAGUUUCUAUGACCAUCAUGUUUUGACUUAAUGGGUUCUACUUCAUAAAAGUAGUGUUGUUUCCCUCAUGGGCUCAUAACUUGCAGCUCAUCAUCUGAAUCGAGUCAGUUCAUUUGCCUUUGAUCAUGAUCACCUUGCAUAUUAGUUUUUGGAGAUUUGAUUUGUCUUGUUUGUGAGAUCAAAGAUUUGUUUUUUUCUUUUUUUAGAAGUAGAUUAUUGUACAGAAUUAUUUGGAAAUUAAAUUUGUUCUGCUUGUUACAGGAAUACUGCAAAAACCUUCUAUGCUGCAAGCAUUUUCUUUGAGAUUCUUAAUCAGUUUGGUGAACUUCAGCCUGAUGUGAGUUCUUGACCAUGCUAUCGAUUUCCUUAUAAUAACCCACUUAUUUGAAAAGCUUUAGGUUUAUAGCAUCUGACAUUGAAUGGUUUUGGCAGUGUCUGAAUUUUUUUUUGUUCUUUUAUUUUGAAUAUUGAUUUGGAGAUUGGCUUAUUAGGUAGUUAACAUAUUUUUGGUCCCCUUUUACAGCUUGAACAGAAACAGAAGUAUGCAGCAUGGAAAGCAGCUGAUAUUAGGAAAGCUUUGAAAGAGGGAAGGAAACCCCAACCAGGCCCUCCUGUUGAUGAAAAUGAUCUAUCACUACCAACAAGUACCACAAGUGGUGCAUAUGUAUGAUUCUAAACUUGAAAGCCACUUUCUUUUCAGUUAUUUAAAAAGAACAACAUGAUGCUAAAUAAGCAUGAUAGAAAAAAGAUGAUUCUAUUUUCCUAAUUGUUGAGAGUGAAACCUUUCCUGUGCCUAUCCAAAAUGAGAUUUCAAAAUCAAAAAGUGUAAAUCCUUUCAGCUUUUCUUGGUCCUUGUGAUCUCGACAUUUUACUGAAAACCAGUGGUUUUCAGUAAAUGAUAUAAUCUCUAAUCUUAGUUGCUUGCAUGUAAUUUCCAAAUGUUCCUCUUUGCAGGAUCUUGGGCCUAGCCAAACUGGUCCAUCUUUCAAUCCAGGACCAGAAUCUGAUCCAUCACCUCAAUUUAAUGGUAGUCUGAGCCGCCAGCAUUCCUUAAAUAUUACACCAUCACCUCCCCCUACAAAUAUUACACCAUCACCCCCCCCUACAAAUAUUACACCAUCGCCUCCUCCUACAAGUUUUCCACCAUUGCCUCCAAAUGUUCCACCACCUCCCUCUUACCGUAGUGCUGAUUAUCCUUCCCAUGAUUUUCAUCCACCACCUCCGACUAACAGAUCUGAAAAUUCUAGUUAUCCUCAGCCAUACCACCCUCAACCCUACCCACAAGAACCACAGCAGCAAUUGCCACAAAAUUGUCCUUCUCAUGAAACACCCUCAUCUUAUUCUUAUCCUAAUUUCCAGUCUUACCCGAGCUUCACUGAGAGCAGCCUUCCAGCCGCCCCAUCUCAUUAUCCUUCUUAUUAUCAAGGCUCGGAUGCUUCAUACUCCCCCCAGUCAGCUCCUGUUUCAAGUUAUCCAUCAGCUGCUCAAUACAAUUCAAGCGGCGGAAAUGAGGCCAUUUCAGAGCCUGCACCAAGUUCUUCCCAAACAUAUCAAUAUGACAGCAAUUACCAGCCACCAGCAGAGAAAAUUGCUGAGGCACACAAGGCUGCAAGGUUUGCGGUUGGGGCUUUGGCAUUUGAUGAUGUAUCAGUUGCAGUGGACUUCCUUAAAAAAUCCCUUGAAUUGCUGACAAAACCAUCUGCAGGCCAGUAAGUUUGUUACAUUUGAGCGGGUCCUGAUUCUGUUUGUUAUUUUUAUUUGUUUUGGGUUUUGCUUUGUAAAGGUAAUCAUAAUAUUGCAUAAAUCACAAUACAGUUUCCCAUGUUGACACAUUUAUGUGAAUGAAAGUUACUGAUAUUUGCUUUCAAACUCUUAUGUAUCUCUCAUUUACAGUUUUGUGUAUGGUGGAAUCUGUCUUUGGGCUUAUGAAUUUGAGGAAUAGUAGAUGUAAGUCAGCUUUGUCAACAGGAACCUCCCCUUUCUUUUGAUAGGCAAAUCUAAAAUGUAUAACAGGUCCUUAACUGAAAAGGGGGUUACAAGACAAGUAAACAAGAUGUUAGGCUAAAGAAAAAGCACAGAAAACAACUAGAGCAUGCAUUGAUACCUUGACUCAGUCAAAUCAAGAAAAUAACCAGUUGAGAGACACAAGACCAAGAGAACAAAGUACCAAUGAACAUAUUUUUUUCACCAUAAGGAACGUAUUAUUUCUUGUUAUUUGGAAACAGAACAAAGUACUAAUGAACAUAUUUUUUCACCAGGAGGAACCUAUUAGUUCUUGUUAUUUGGAAACCUCACGGGAUUAAUCUUUUCCAUUUGGUGUUUUCCAGCUUUGAAAAGUUGUUCAUGUGAGUAGGAUCAUCUUUUUAGAUUUCUAGGUCUAGGCGUCCUCUGCAGUCUCCAUUCAUCAGUCUUUUGCUAUUCAUGGAGCAUGAGAUUGCAUGCUGUGUCUUCGUUUUGCCCGAGCACCAUGCUGUGAUGUUGACCGAGGGAUGCAAAAAGCAUUUAUUAGAAGGCUCAAACGCCCUUACAAAAUGACGGGAUCCUAAAUAAUGUGUCAUCAUCCGUUUACUCCCCAUUUGCUUUGUACACAUUAUUCUUUGCAUUUGUUUUGUGAUCACUUUCUAUUAUUAGCUAUUUACAUGUACUGCAACAGCAUUACUAUUGUUAUUCUUUCCCAUAUUGUACAUGGGGAACCAUAUCAAGAUGUGUCCCUGAUGUUUUUAUUUUUUGUUUCUCUGUGAUUGAUGAGAGUUAAAUCCAAGUCUGCUUAAACUUAUUUAUGACAGUUAAUUUUCAUUGUUGGAGAAUUAAGCUGUUUCUUUAGAUGGAGGUUGCAUUAGUUUAAAACAUAAAGACGGCCUAUGAUGAAGGUGAUGAUUUAAAGUCUCCUCUAACAGAAGGCCGACAGCCUGGUUUCUUAACCAUUCUAUGGAGAAAAGUGUCAAUUUUCCUUUGGAUUAAAGGGGUAUGUUCUAUGUGUUUCCUGAGUUUGGGACUGUGUUCACAUGUAGUUUACCCAUCUUUAAUUGAAGAUGGGCAGAUUUUAACUCCGAAUUGAGAGAGUUUCUAUGAGAACCGAGGAGAGAAACUAGGGAAGUUUGAGGAAGUUGAUAGAGAAAAGUAGUAAUAUAAGCAAGAAAAAAGAAAAGAAUUGGUUUCAGGUUAAGGAAAGAGGUUUGUAUUGUCAUAUUUUGUUUGCAUGUAUUACAUCAUCGGAUUUCAUACACCCAUGUAUUUUGGAGAGUGACUGAGAAAUACCAACACAUACUCAAGUAUAAAAAACUCUAUUGCUGCUGCUUUUUCCCCAUUUUUGAUUUGCUUGACUUGAUGGCGGAUUUCUCCAUAAACAUGGGCCUCUGUGAUUUGUAAAUAUAGAAGAGGUGGUCUAAAACUUGUGCCUUAUGUUGAACUUAAUAUUGCAAUUAUCACCCAAGGUUGAUAUUUUUCAGGUAUCAGUACAGGGCUUGUUAGAGGCUGAAAUUUAGCAGACUGCACAACCCUGCUGAGAGAAAAGAUAAUUGUUCACCAACCCCAACACAAAGGGUUGUUCAAAAAGAAGGAUAAACUUCUUUUUGAAGUAUUAUAACUGAACUAACUGCCAUUGUCUACCUCCUCCCCACCUUUCCAACAAAAAACAGGGAAGAAAACCUAAAAAUCAAAUGGCCUCUGAGUAGAUGUUGGUGGAAAAGGAAACCCUUUCAUUCAUUCCUACAACUCCACAUAUACAGACACAAUGAUGAGCAAUAAAGGUAGUGAAAUAAAGAGGGUUUACUUGCUUUUAUUUACCCUUUAGUGUGGACCCAAGGGAGCAAGAAGUCACAAGCACACACAAAAGUGAGAGAACAAGUCUUAUGCACUGCCCAUCGACCCUUUUUCUUCUUCUCUCUUUUGGGUGUGCUUGCUUCUCUUUCUAAGCAUUAGAAAUGAUUCAAAGUAAGGAAAGGAAAAAUAGUUACAGGCCCUCCUUUCUCCCUUCUCUUGUAUACAUGCAUUUUUUUUUUUUUUUUUUUUUUUUUGUAUUUUUUUCUCUCUAGGCAAAAGAUAGAGAUGCAACUAUGUGAAAGAACUGAAUUUGCUCUAGUACUUCUUUUGCAUGGCUUGUCCCCUUGUGCUCAACCCUUAAAAACAGCUCCUUGCUUAGCUCCUCCCCUAUGUGGGCAUCGAUUAGGACCCCAGCCACACUCCUGCAACUGUUGGCUAGGGCUCGACCCACCUCGGCUUCAUCGUCAGGUUGGUUGACCACCAGCGGACUCCCUCCCUUGAAUACUUCCAGCUUGUUAAUGGUGAAUGACCCGUUGGCUUCAACCACCUCCCUGAAGUCUUGUAUGCUUGGCGCGUACACUGGAAUAUUGAAAUUGUCACGCUUCUCGCUCGUAAUCAGGCCCUGUUGUCAUUUAUAAAUUUUUUAAAAUAAUAAUAAUCAAAAUACAGCCUCCAUCCACUCCAUUAAACUACAAAAGAAAUGAAAAGGAGAAUCGAAGAUAAGGCCCAAAAGGUUAAUGGGCCUAGAAGGAAGGCCCUAUGGCAGUUUCAAAUUAGAUGGGUUCGCUCGAUGUGUUGAUUAUAAUACCGUACUAUCCUGAUCAGAGGACUUUGAUUGAGACGCAGGAUCGAUUCAAUACGUACAAUGCACUGAAUUUUUCUAUCAUUGAUCAAUCUUGAUCUGAUGGUUAGAAACGGAUUUCCUGUCCUUUUACCAGACUGGUCAAACACUUCGGCCGACCCACCUGCCAUUCCUUUAUCAUAUUGCCGACACACAGUCGGACAAGUGGAUGGCCAGAUGAGCCACUGGACUACAAUCCAACGGCGGGGAAUGAUUACUUCUUUCUUAGGGUGAGCUGUUGAUACACAAGUUGAAAGUUAUGGGGAAUGAAUGGGCAUGAUUACCUCUAGGACAAGAUCAUUCCAAGCGUCUUGAAAGUGGGUUCCAAAGAGGAGUCCGGCCCCACCCUGGUCAGUGGGGUCCACAGAGGUGCGACCCAGGCACACCAAAAACAUGGACCCCCCACUCAUCAUCUCCUGUGCCCUUGAUCUCAGAAACCCGGAUAGAUCACUCUGAAACUGUUUCUUGUAUGCGCUAGCUGUGCCCUCAUUGGCACCAUGGAUGAACACCCUCCCUUCGUUGUAAGCCGUUGAUUGUUUGUCUACCACACAAUCCGGCACCUGUAUUAUGUUAUAAUUAAGAUUAUUUAUGUAUGUAUAUAUAAGUUAAUUAAUAUAAUUGGAAAAAUCCAAAAUUUUUUGGGACUCGAUUUAAAAAUAGUAAGUGGGACAAUCAUCCUCGGGAACAAACUAGAUUAUUAUUAUCAUGAUUAUCUAGGGUAAGCAUGAAACUUUGUAGGUGGAAGAAUGAAUAGCAUAAAAUGGAAAGAUGAUUACCUGAGAGAGCCAGUGCAAGGAAAAUGCAGAGUGAAAGAGAUUAAUUGAUCUGCAAGGGAAGAGUCUUUUAUAGAAAGAGCCAGGAACUGCUGCUGCAAAGUAUGAUCUGUGGCCUUUGGCUGCUAGAUACUCUUCCAUGCUCACUCCAGGGUCUGCUAUGGGUGGGAGCAGCUGGAAGAGCGUGUUGAAGUCAUUAGAAGGGAGGUCGGAGAAAAACGCAGAGAACUCCGGUGGCUUGAACCCGGCCUCCUCGUAUCGCUUGCUCAUAUGUUUAAUGAUGGUUUCAAUGGUGAAGAUUGUAUUGCUGCCGCUGGAGCACCCUAAGUCCACCACCGUGAAGGGGACUUCUGGGGAAGUUAGUUGCACUCCAUCUAGGGUUUCCCUGAGAAGAUGAAGCAUGGAUCGAGCAUGUCGCGCCUGCAUAUAUUUAGGGUUUGUGUUAGACUUAAUUCAACUGUAUAAUUAUAAAAUUUAAAAAGAAAAACAAGAAUAAAAUUAUGGAGUCAAAAACAUUGACAUAAAUCUGAACACGUUCUGACAAAAAGAGAGCAUGUAAGAGUUGACAUAUUUGCCUCAUAUUUCUCUGUGUCACCUACCCACCCAUGGAACCAGUAAACCCUAUUUGAACAUGAGAUACUUUUCUGAUAGAUCAAGCAAAAGAAUCUGAGAAAAAAAAAGCCCACAAAAGGCUUGAAAAUGGAGUGAAUAACUAGCAUGAAACAGUGGACACUCUAAAUAUUCCAUGCUAUUUUAAUCUUUCUGGCACCAACCCAUAAAGCCCUAGUAGAACCCAAGAAAAUUUAGUUUUCUGGUUGGUGGACAUGGAUGGACCAAAAAAAAAACCCUUGAAAACCCAGAAAAAAGGAGAGAAAAUGAAGACAAACAAAGGACCUGAGCCUGAGAAUUAUUGGCAUAGCUGCCCUCUCCAUUGCCCCCCUUCAUGCAGAACACUUUCUCGAGCUUCAUGUUGGGAACUACUACGAUGUUAUUCUCUCCUCUUGGAGCCAUAUGUCAGUGGGUCUCUGGUCUUAUAUGGUGAUCAGAAAUGAGAAGAAAGGUGGGUGUAUAUGGUUAUGGGUAUGGGGUGGAGAAAAGGUCAGGCAAGAGUCGAAUAUAUAUAGAAACUUUUGAAGGCUUCGAGAUUUUCUUCUGUUAAAGUUACCAAAAAAAAAAAAGAAAAAAAUCAGCUGAUUGUUUGCUUUGGACUUUCCCAAAAAAUAAACCUAAAUACAUCGUACAUGUAUUGUGUGCUUACAUAUAAUUACCAAAAUUAUAUAAUUAGAUUAUUUCGUAUGUAAUUAGCAUAUACUAAUGUAAGGUAUGUUUCUGGAAUUUACCAAAAAUCUUGUGUUAUCUGCUUAGAUGUAAUUGCCAAAAAAAUGCCCAAACAAAAUAAAAUAAAUUUAAAUAAUUAAUUUUAUUUUAUUUUUUGAAAAAAAAGAAAGUGAUUGCAUGCUAAGAACAUAAACGAAUUUUCAUAUUUUUCUUCUAGGAAAUUCACUGCCACCCAACUGAUGAAAAGAGAAUUAAUUUCUUGGAUGCUAAGAACAUAAACGAAUUGCAAAAUCAGGAUGUGCUUUAGUAGUAUUUUCUUACGGAUGACAAGUCAUAUUAAAAUUUGUAUUAUAUUUUUGGAAUAAUAUAGUUAUUUUUUUUUUAAUAAAAUCAUUUACAAAAUAUGUAAAUUUUCUACCAUACAUGCAUGCAUGCAUUGUGUUUAUCCCGAAUGCAACCCAUAUAGGAAAAAACAUGUUUUCGGUAAGUAAUAUACUUUUAUAAAAAUAACACAAAAUAGGAAUUUUUAAAAAUAGUUCAGAUUUUUUAUACUCAUCGAUCAAAAGGAGAAAGAUAGUAUCUAUAUUAUUAAAAGAUAAUAUCUGAACGUAUGAAAUCCAAAUAGCUAUUUAAAAUUUGUAUUUUAUAAAUUUAAUUUUUAUUUUAUGGUUUUUUUUUAUUUUUUAUAUGAACGUAUAGAAACGACUUUUUGCUAAGAACUUUUUCCUUAUUAUAUAUAUAUAUAUAUAUUAUAUUUGACAGUAUUAUGAAAUUCAAAUGGUGAUUAGGUCCUACUUAAACAUUAUAUAAUUAACUUGAUGUGGUGCUAAUUAAAAUAACAAAUAAGGCGAUAAUCAUUAACGACAAAUCGAGAUAAACUAAGCAUACAUAUACAACAUAUGUCAAUUGGAAGGUGAUGGGGCAAAAAAAAGACAAUCAUAAACCCUAAAGAUGUGUAUUUCUUUAGGCUUAAGUGAUGAUGAAGAGGUCAUGUUGCAAUAGUUUCAACCAAACAAAGGUAUGGAGAAAAAGGAGGAGACAUACAUAUGGAGAUAAUGGAGAUAAUGGAGAAGAAAGAGAUCCAUUAAAGGCCAAAUGAUGAUUCAUUAUUCCGUAAUUUAAACCCCCCCGCCACCAUCAGACCCCAGAAAUCAAGGUAUGGUUUGUAGCUAAAGCCCUUUUUAAACUACUAAUUAGCUUCUAGUGUUUGUUGGCUUAGUGUAGCUAGUCAGGGAAACCACAAAAGGCUUUGCCGACUCGCUGUCUUGAUUGUUUGAUUAUCACUCUCCAUCAAAUAUUAUGAUGCAUGUGGGAGAUUUUCUAUUUCUACUUUCACAAAAAUAUAUGAUCAGUUUCUUCUCUUGUUCUACCCAUUUUAGUAUCUAAAAACAUAACUAAUUAGGAUGUUGUCUCUCGUUAAUUUUGCUUUGAUAAGUUAAAUAUCAAUUUUUUCUUAAAAAGAAAUUAGAAUAUUUAUCUUUUAUUUUUUAUUUUUUAUUUUUUAUUAGGGAGUUUGAUAUUAAAAAUAUAGCUUAAUUCACCAAGCCAAUAAUCGUAGAACAAAAUGUUACUCGCUAUUCUUUUCUUUUAAUCGAGUCAUUAACUUAAGGUACCACUGGUUCCAUAAAAAAUGAGAGAAAAUAAAGAAAAAUAAAUAAAAAUUAGAUUUCAAGCAAAUUGUUUUUAUAUGUUAUACUCUUGAUCAAACAAUUUGAAAAUGAUUAAGUUUUUAAAAAUUCACAAAAAAUCAUUUUUUUUUUCUUGAUACUUUCAUAAAACCAAAGAUAAUGAAAAUAAAAGAAGUUAUAUGAUCCAAUAAUUUGCUUUUUUUCUUCUUUUCUUUUCUUUUCAAAUAGACUCAAUGCAUAAGUACUUAUAAUUUUGCCAAGGACUACUUAGAAAAGCAAAUUCAUGAUGUAUUUAUCUUUGAAAGUGUUUUUUUUCAAAAAGCCUAGCAAAGUACUUCUCUGAGUUCUUUCUGUCUAGACCACUAAUAAGCACCUUUUUAAGUAUGUAUAAAAUUUAUAUGAUCAAAGAAUCAUUUUAUCGAAUAUGCCACUUCUCAUCAAAUACUCUGCUCUCCUUCACCAAACGUACCGAAAAAACAAACCGUAUUGCCAUGGGGUGCAAAAUUUUUUUGAAAGAGACCAAUGGAAAAGAAGAAUGGAGCCCAUGAUAGGAACCCCAAAACAAUGUGUGUAGAGGUGGGGAACUUGGUCACAUGCAGUACUGAGAAUUGAGAAAGAUGGAUGGACACUAAGGAGAGUGAGAAUGUGAGGGUGGAAAUGAGAUUGAUGACUGACGAGAACCCCCCACUUUUUUUUUUUUUUCCUUCUAAAGACCCGGAAUCUUGUUUCUCAUCUUUCCACCCUCACCCUCACCCUCUCUCUCAAAAGUCCACCACACAGCCGUGAUAAUCGCCGGUUCACGUGAACCCAUGCCUUCCUUUUAUCUUUCUUUUUUUUUUUUUUUAUAACUUUCUACAACUGCCUUCCAACCUCCUCCUCCUUACUGUUAUUAUCCUAAUGUAUAAAUCAACCCUUGAAAGUGAUUCUCUACUCUCCUCUCAUUCUCUAGGUAGGGGGUUUGGCCCUACUUUUGGGUGGAUCAUGACCGUCUGAUAUGGCAUCGAAAAGUGGGAAAGUUUAGUCUGAGUAAAAAGACAAGUGGUGGAAUGGUCAAAAAAGUGAUGUGUGGUAGUUAUGCUUCUACACCCCAAUUUUUAUGGACCCACUUAGAUUUGUAUUUUGGUCGUUUAUAUAUAUAUAUAUAUUUGUAGAGCCCUUGGGAAAAAGAUACCCACCUUUAAAAUGAUGAUAAAAUUUCCAAGGAGGUUGCAAUAGGCCCUCUCGAGAUUCAAUUUCAACUUCAUCAGAAUCAAAAGCUUUUGAGGUAUAAAAAACUUUAAAGUAAUAAAAAGGAGGGUCCCGCUAUGCUAGCCAAUGAGUAUUUAUCGGGGGGGAAAAAAUAAUUCACAUGUAUAAUUUAAUCCCAUUACUAUGUACCAUAUUCGUCGUACAUUUUCAAUAGAUAUGGAGCCAGUACCUUAGUAUUUUACUGAAAAGGAUUGUUCAAUCUUCUUCUAACCCAAUGAACCUUGGCAAAGAGACAAAAAGAUAAAAAAAAAAUAUGAAAACCAUUGUUUUUAAUAUGUACAUGAUGUAAAAUGAAGAGCACGUGCACUGUAGAUAAACAUGGAUGCACGUAAGCUGUGGUUUUGGAGUUUGUCGCUACACCAUGAUCUUAACCUUUCAAUUUGAAUAUAGAUUUUCGCAUAUGGGGCACCUUAUCCAAAGCAUGAUUUUGUAUUACUUGGAAGGAACCGUCUUCCCUCAAUCAUUCAGGCAUAGGGUAAUGGUUUUGUUCUGGAUUUAUAGGGCAAAAUCAAACAUGGGCUAGGUUCUACAAAACUUAAAGAAACAAACCUUAGUUUGUUAGGUUCUAGCCUCUACUUAUCUUUUACUCAAUUCCAUCCCGCUAUUGAUUCUCGUUUUGUUAAUCUCCCACUAAACAAAAGAAACAUGUGCCGCUUAAUCGCGAUCAAUUGGUUCCCGGGAUCGAAGAAAACGGAAUGUUAAUAGCAUGAUCACAGUCACAGUGUGUUUACCUAGAUUGAGAUUGUGUUAAAUAUAAGCAAUCCAAUGAGUUGAGGUAUUAAUACAAGUAAGAUCUAUAUGAAAGCUUUAGAGGGGAAAAAACUAUAGGCAGUAGAGGCAUAGGAAGUUAGUCCUAUGGGCAUUGGGAAUAGUAGAGAGGCAUGGAAGUUAGGGCUAUGGUUUAUUCAAAUACAAGGACAUGAAUGGACGCAGCACAUGAGAGCAAUUUUUAUUCUAUGCUAGGCAAGUUAAAGUAGAUUCUAGUUAUAGGUGUCUAAACGACUACUUUGAUAGGGAAAAGUGGACAAUACCAAUCCAAUCUAUUGAAGAUUUUUGAACACUAUGACUUCACAUGUAGUGUUUUCUUCUAGAGAUACCUAUGGAGAUUAAACAUCUCCCAUCAUAUGUUCACUGUGAAUAGGAAGGGAAAAUGAUGACAGGAACUCUUUCCUUGGUCUGCUUACCAUAACUCAAGCUGGGGCAUCACCUAUUCUUGAGCAGUAUUAUUGAAGCCAGUUGAACUGCCUGUUAAAGUAGAAUGGGUUUUGGUUCCCAAUAUCAGAGACUGCAAAAUGAACAACUAAAGAUGGAUAUUUGCAAGCUGAAGUAUACAGUCCAUGAUUAUAGCCCUACAGUGGAUACCAGCAGCUACUUUGUUGAUCCCCUAUUGACAAAUGAUGUCUCACAUAAGCAUGCAGUUCAAAAUAUCCAUCCGAUAGAAAGAUAACUACCAGGCAAAGUAAUAAUUUUGUAACAUAAGCAUGCAGUUCUAGAUAUCGAUUUCGCUAAAAGAUGACUGAAAGUUGAGUAAUAAUUUCGUAAGUCAGCUUUGGAAUGCUGUCUGUCAUGCUUUGAGGAGCACUGCUGGGCAAUGGCGAAUCAUGCUUAUAAUUUAGCCAAGAUGAGAAUGCUGAAAUGGAUGGCCAAAAAGACAAGAUAAUAUAUUAAAACAUUAACACUUGAGAUAUUCUAGCUGAGAAUAAGAUGAGAGUCAAAUAUUAUAAUUUGUUCUGCAGAAUAAAGACCUGCGAGAAGUGACCAAAAAAGGAAGAAAAAGAGAGAGAGAGAGAGAACCCAAAAAAUGAGUUGCAAUUGUGAGAAGACAGGGCAGCCUAGAAUAGAAUAGAAACAUGGUCCAAAAUACAAUACAAUAGAUAAAAAGGCAUUCAUAGAUUGGCAAUAAAGUAAUACUGUAGAAUGGGCAGACCCAAUUGAUGGUGUGUGUAUAUAUAUAUAUAUAUACCUUUCAUAGUGACAGCAACAGCCUACUAAAAUACUUAGUGAAGGUCUCCAAGCUUAAGUAUUGAAUAGGAAAAAGAGCCAUUCAAAAGUUUACUGAAGGAAGCAGAGAUUUUAGUUUUGAACUUUCACAAAUAAAGCCAUACUCUAUUUCUAAAGCCUGCAUAAGGCAAUUUAAACUAGUGACUGAUGUUUGAAUCUAGGAAAUCUGUGAGUAGAGAUUUUUUAAUUAUGAGUUGGGAAUCUAAUUCAGAAUUCAAUCUUAUCAAAUGAAAGAUAGCAAUGGAAGAAAAAAAUAUAACACAUUCGAUGUACCUAAACAAGUCCUCAAUCCCAAAAAACUAAAGAACAAAACAUGUUGACACCUUAGGCAAGUAAAUUUUACAUAAAUGCGCAAGGGCCAUGCACAUCACAGUAAGUGCUCCAUUUAAACAUUUUAAGUUAUGGAGCAAAUCUUCUAUUCAUCCACAUGCAUACCUAGGAUCUAGUUGCAUGUUCGUACAAGUUUUAGCAUUUCAAAGUAAACUGUGAUCAACAUACACGCUACUCCUUGUCUGCAAUCAAUAACCACAAGAGACUACAAAUAAAUCAACAACUUUAAAUCUCUUGCGGUAUUUAUGAAACCCUAGAAAGUCAGACAUGCCCAGAAGUAUGAUGGUACAUAAUUUUUGUUGGCUAUGUACCAGGAAUUGUGGUCCACUUCUACCAUAGAGUUGCAUAUCAAAUUCAUCCCAAGAAAGAAAUGAAUUUCAUUAAUGUAACCAAGGUGACUGAUGAUAUUGAAAUUGAAAUUGAAAUUGAAAUCGAAAUAUUUUGACAAAAAGAAAUUUAAAUUUUCAUGUCAAUGGAAUAAAUAAUUCAGAACAUUCAUGAAAAGAACCAGAAGAUUUUCCAUUUAUAUUUCACUUGCUGGUAAUAUGAUGGAGGCAUCUAAGUACCAAAAAAUGGGCAUGAACUGAUUCAAUUUGAAUUACUUUUGAAAGAUGAUACAAACUGGGACUACAGCUACAUAUUGUACAAGACAUGGGUAUUAAAACUCCCUGACUAAUCAAUUGUCUGAAAGCCCCAUCCGCAAGAUACUACCUGUUAUGGAAAAAUAACUGAGUAAAGAUCUUUGACAGAUACUUGACAUACAAACAUCAAUGUAAUGAAAAUAAUAAUAAUAAUAACAAUUUUAUUUAUUUAUUUUUGGAUAGGAAAACAAGGAUAUCAAACAAUGCCAACAAAAAAAGGGCACACCCUAUAUACAUAUGGGGUAUAGAAGAGGCACCUCAGGUAUUGUGGUACCAAAGAAACAAAAAAGCAACACCUGGACAACAACAUAAAAAAGAGCCAGUCACUGGCCAUAGUUUAGGCUUUCUAUAAAAUUCAACAAUGAACAAUUCUCCUCUCCAACAGGACUUUAGACCAUUCCAAUGGGAUUUGAUAAGGUUCCCCUUCAACUUCUGGUCGGAAAGUCUUUCUCAAUGAAAUCAUUGUACUAUGGUCUCGCCACAUGCACCUAAACAAGUAAGGAGAGCAACACUCUAGACCUGCCUUCACCUUUUAUCCAAGCCUUGCACCUUCCAUCCCGAUGAGGAACUUUUUCACCAAAUGGGGAAACACCCACUGCAGUCCAAUAAUUGUUAAUAACAUAUCCCAUGACUAUAUAGCUCCAUCACAAUGGAUUAAGUUGUAAUCUGAAGAUUUCUCACGAACUUUACAAACACCACAUCUGUAGAUCAUCGACCAUCCAUUCCUUAGAAGGCUAUCCAUAGUUAGAAUCGUCCCCCCAUAUUGCCACCCAAGCAAAAGAGAGCAGGCUCUCAAUGGGGCACAGGUGCCCCAAAUUUCUUUGGCAGGGAACAUCUCUGAAUUCUCAGCAUAUAAUGAGUUGUAAAAAAAUUGACAAGGAAUUUCUUCUCCUCCCUCCAAAGUAAACCCUUCCCCACUGCUUCUUGCAGUCUCACAUUAUGGAUGAUCAAUCUCUGCACUUCAUACCGUCUAAUCUCUCAACUAAACUGCUUGUGCUAAAUCAGUUGGCAGAGAGACAUGGCAAGCCUAGUGUCAUGUUCUAGCAUUUUAAAGACUGGAAACUGAGGUCUCUAUCAAUAGCAAUUGACCAAAUAUAAAUCUUAUACCACACCUAUUACCAUAGAACUAUGUUGAAUAUUAAUCUACUACAACUAUUAUUCAAUUAGCAUCAGGUAAAAAUAAGCCAUUGUCUCCCAGGUACAAUCUACAAUGCCACCAGCAAAAAAAUAAAAACACCAGCUCCUCUUAUGAGAAAAGGUCAGUCCAACACAAUAUCAAUCAUGGCCACCCACCCUCAGCACCACCGGGGCCCCACUCCCAAAAAAAAAAUGAAAAAGUAAUUCAAAAUAUCAAAUGAUAAUUACCAAUAUCUAUCUAUAUAUAUAUUGAUCAGAGAUAACCAGUGCAUUGUUCUCCCUUUAACUUCAGAAAACUAUUUAAUAGUGGCCAUUAACCUAGAAAAAUAAAAUAAAAAAGAAAGCCUACUACUGUGCCAACUCAGGGCUAGUUUGGUAUACUGUAGCUUUUGAAAAAAGAACAAAUAAUGUAACUAUGUUAAAAGAAAAAUCAGCUAUUCAAGAGUGCUCUGAGUUUAAAAAAAACCAUUUAAGUAUUCGAUAAAACUGAAUUAUUAAAUUGUUGUGAACAUAUGUAAUGACAAAAGGAAAGAAAAACAGCUAUGGUUUCAAAAGUUCUGUUAGUUUCAAAAGAAACAUUUGAAGUGUUUGAUAAAACAGAAUUGUUAAGUUGUUGUGAACAUGUAUAAUGACCAAGGGAAUGUUAAAAAUGUAAUCAGUUCUCUUUAUUCUUAGGUAUACAAAGAAUCUUUAGUUAAAUAAAUCAUUGUAUCAUUCAUUUAAAAUCAACUUUAAAUAUUUUCAUUUUCUUUUCAAAAGUAGUUUCAACUUUCUAUUUUAAUUCAAUUCAAAGUAAACACAUUUAUAGUAGUAUUUUAUUUUAUAUUUUAGGAUGAGUAGUAUCAAAUAUAAAUUCCUACAAAUAUUACACACUAACAACAAAAGGGUUUGAACUAAUAUUUAGUAUCAUGCACUCACUUAAAUCAGUUUAUUAUGCAUAAUAUUAAAUAAUAAUAUCAACUAUAAAUAAAUAAAAAUAAAUCAUUAACUAGAUGCAAAUAUGAAUUUUGAGUCUAAAGUUUGUAUAUCACGGACUAUUUAAAGACAUAUUAGAUAAUUUAAAAUAUCAUUAAAGAAGAUAUCUUGAUUCUUGGAAAAUAACUUUUCAAAACCUAUCUUAUCUGAUUUUCAAAAUAGCUGUCAAAAUGGACGAGAUUCUGUGAGAAUUACAUGUCUUAAAUUUUACCAAACACGUAAGUUAAAAACAAGAGAUUAUAAGAACAGUGAUUCUAAGAGGUCUAAAUUCAAUCCCAAACAAGGCCUUAAAAAGACAAGGUAUUUCUAGUGUCAGACCUUCAGUCUUAGUGAAUGGCAUGUCUUUGGAAAAUUUUCAUUACCCAGGAGAUUUGUGGCAGGGGAACUGCUCUCUUAUGUUUUUGUGUUGGUGGUGGAGUCCUUGGGAACAUUAAUAUGAAAGUGGAAGGUAUAUUAUUCAAACACUUCAAGUUGGAGAGAAGGGAGAGCAACGAUGGAGAGUUUGCAUCUAUUAUUUGCUGAGAACACCAUUUCUUUUUGGGCAAGUGGUGAACCACUUAUGUUUUUAAAGCUAUCUUAGGUUUCAAGGUCAAUCUGGGUAAGGUUCAAGUCCCAGUAGGAGCUUGAAAAAUAAAAGGGGGUGGGGUGAUGUAGGUGGACACCCUUACAGCUUUGCUUGGGUAUUAAGGUGGGCCACUUCAGUUUUCUUAUUGGCUUGUCAAGUGCUCCUUUCAGAUCUAGAGGAGCCUGGGCAGUAAUUAGGCAAUUUGAGAAAUAGCUAGUUUCAUGGAAUGGGCAAUAUUUAUCUAGGAGUGUGGAAUCACUCUUAUUCAGAGCAUCCUUUUGAAUUUUCCCAUGUACUUUAUGUUCUUUGUACCACUGACAUCAGUUUGCUUGAUGUCAUGGAAACUCCAAAAGGAUUUCUUUAGGAAGGAGUUAAGAAGGGUAGUAUAUCACAUUUCAUGAACCAGGAGACUAGUAUUGCAUCAAAGAAAAUGGGUAGAUUGGGAUUAGCAACUUUCUGGUUCGUAAUAAAGUUUUUCUUGGUAACUGGAUCUUGAGAUUUGUAGGGGUUACAGGGUAAGUAUUGGAUAAAGGUGGUGGGAAAGUUCAAGAGUUGAAGAGGAUGUUGUUCACAGGAUUCAUAGGAACUUUUAGGGCAGAGCCUUGGGAAACCAAUUGGGAAAGAUUGGGAUCUCUUUCAGGACAUGGCCCUUUCGAAGGGCAAUGGGAUGAAGCAUGAAGUUUCAGCUUGAUAUGUAGUGUGGAAAGGUAAAAGCCUGAAGGCUCACUUUUCAUUUCAUUUUGCUUUGCUAGUUGAUAGGGAUGCAUAGGUAGCUAUUUAUUGGUAUUGGAUGAUGGUUCCCACCAAUGGUUCACCAGAAGCUUCUAUGUUUGGGACUUUUGGAAGAGGUGGGAAGUUUUUUGGUUUGCAUUUAUCAAAGGUGACAGCAGUUUGAGAGAGGAUCAUUAGUUAGAAGAUAUUCCAAGAAAGGAGUUUUCUUGGUUAAAUGUUUUUUCAAGACACCAUUGCCAUGGCUUAGUCUUUGCUUCUCCAUCUCAAUUGUAUGGACCUUGUGCACCAUCCAGGGUUGGCUGCAGGAAGCUGAUGGGGAGAAGACACUAUCAACUAGUAGAUGCGAGGAGUUGUACCUUGUGAACUAAUUAGAAGCGGCUAGGGCAAAUAAGGAGGGAAAGGAAACACUAAGCGGUUUGUCUCUGUACCACUUGUCCUUUCAAAACCUCACUCUCCGACCAUUACCCAUUGAGAAAGAAAUUUUGUUACUCAAAAGAUCCCACUCCUUUCUUAUGGUCUUCCAAAGGCUAACACCAUGACCACCCCUCAGCUCGCAAGAUCGCCACCCCUCAUAAUCUUUACCAUACUUCCGGCUGAUAACUUGCUUCCACAACACCCCCCUUUUUACAGCAAAGGGCUAACUCCACUUACAAAGGAGAGCUUUGUUCAGUAUUGAAAGGCUCCUCAUGCCCAAAUCUCCCUUCCUUUUACCUGAAUAAAUAGUCAUCCACCUUACUAAGCAAGGUUUUUGCACGAGAGUCCCACUUCCCCACAAAAAUCCCUUUGAAUUUUCUCUAACAUCAAUUUAACUAGCCUUGGGGUGCAGACUAAAGACAUGAAGUAGAUAGACAUACUAGAAAGAGUGCUUCGAAUCAAAGGAAGCCUCUCCUUUUAAAAUAUAUUGUCUUUUCCAUAUGACCAGCCUUCUGCAGAACCUCUCUUCCACCCCAUCCUAAGUUGCCACGGGUUUGAAGGGAGGCCCCAGAGGAAGACCCAAGUAAGAGGAAGGGACAAUGUCCACCUUGCAACCCAACUCCAAGGCCAAGUCAUCUAAAUUAUCCACACAUCCAAUAGGAAUCAACUCACUUUUGUCCAAAGUGAUUCUCAAACCUGAAAUGGCCUUGAAAAGCAUAAGCAACCAGCUCAAAUAAGUUAUAUGAUCCUGUGACGCUUCGCAAAAGGCAAGAGUGUAUAAUUGAAAAAUUAUAUUCUUCAUUUCUUGUAUUGUAGCAUUUGAGAUGUGGGCCAUAGUGUUCUUUUGGUGUUAUUGAGUUUCCUUCUUCAAUCAAGAGUACCAUGCUAUCCAGGCAUGACAGUUUUACAAGGAAUGAUAGGAGAAACAUCUGGAGGACUGCAACAUUGUAAUUUUCUUGUGUAUUUGGAAGAAAAGAAAUUGGAAGGAGUUUGAAGAAUUAGCACUCUCCAUAGUGAAGUUUAAAGCUUCUUUCUCUACAUAUUGGUGCAUCCAGAAGAAAACAAAUAGGAAGGAGUUUUGAUAUUCACAGUUAGGAAGUCUUUUCAUAUUCAUGAUCUUUGGAAUCUCAAAGGAAAAAAAGUAUAGACUCUUCUUGAGUUUGUUGAUAGGAGGGGGUAGCUUUUAGCUUUGUCCAGAUUUCCUCGUAUAUGUCCUGGUAUAUUAGGGUUUGCUUCUUACUGGCACUUCCCAAUACCAUUUUUUUAACUGAUUAUUAAAAAAAAAAAAAGAAAGCCAAAAAACUUCAUUUUCUUCAUUUUUACCUUCUCCCAUCUUUGCUUUUCCCCCAGCCCCAUUCAUUCUCCCUAUGCUAUGUAUUAUAUAUGACAAGCAUUGAAUAAUCAGAUAAUAACCUUCCACUUUUCUCAUAUAAAUAUGCAAGAGUACCUUCUAUUUAUUUAAUCAAAUGUAUAGUAUUAUGAAUGGCAUAGGAUGAUUCAUUAGAUCAAGCAAUUCCCAUCAAUGUCUAUCAUUAUAAGGAGAUUUUGAAGUACAAAGCUUUUUCCACAGUGUGUAAGGCUUGAAGCUAGAUGGGUAAAUGCACACAUACAUGUAGACAAUGACUUCGACCUGCUUAUACUACUAAACUCUAUGAGCCCCCUAUUCUGAAUGAGCAGCUAUCAUUAACAUAAGAACAGUGCUUGGAAAGGAAAUGGAACAGGUUCAACAUGUAUACCCACCUGAUCAAAAAGAGCACCAUGGAGCUACAGCAACAAAACCCUAACGACAAUAUAAUGUCAAGUAAAAAAUAUCCACUACUGGGUCAACUGAAAAAAGGUUGGAAAAGCCCAUUGAAUUUAUCAUAGAACCAUCUGCAAAAGAAAGUUGUUAUCUCAUAAGAAAAAGUCAAGAUAAGAUAAUUCAUGCUCCAAUUAAGUAAAAGCAGAGACGAUAUAAGCAAACAAACUCUAAAUUGUCUUUGCUACCAUGGUAGGACAACUAAAUUAAUCAACACAACCACAUGUAACCCAAUUCUAAAAGUCAAAUCUGAAGCAUUUGCUUAGGAUCCAUUCAGUAUAAAAAAAGUAUUGUCGGAACAAUUAUUUAAGGGUAGACAAUUGGGUAUUCAUACAAUAUUAGUAUAUGCACCUCCACAAUGUUUCCAGCACAAACUUAAGUACAUAUUCUGCAGUAUGGUCUUUAACAUUUAUUAGGUAGUAAUACCAAUGAGUUAGGCAUGAACUGAAUUUAUCUAGAAUUUGCAAGAAAGAGAGAAUAAUUGAACUAUUAAUAACAAUCGACACAAAAAACUUUGUACGGUGAAUGCUUAAAAGUCUCUGGCUGGGUAUGGUAAAUGGGCUUAUAAUUCGAUAGGAUACCAUUCUGUUGCUGAAAUUUCAUUAAUCAUGGCUGAUUUUAAAUUAAAACUUCAUUUUCCCAUGCUUGCCAAUUUUUAGGUAUUCAAAGUAAUUUAAAUAUUACUACCAUGAUAGUAUCUCUCUAUCAAAGUUCUUUUCAUUGACUUUGUUAUAUUACACAGAUUUCCUGGAGAUUUAAAUGCAUCAAAUAUUCUGUUUGACGUGUGUUUUGGGUGAUUUAAUUAGCAACCAUGUAAUAACAGGAAAAUUGCAUAGGUACUUUCACAGCUACAUCAUAAUCAAGAUCCUUCCAGAACAUGAGAUAAGACUAUUAAUUCAAACAUUCUCACUUAUAAAUUGGGCAACUUUAUUCAACUAAAUAGAUACAAUGGUCUUUGGGAAAUGUCACAUAUUAGGAAGUAAGAAAAUUAGACAAGGUAUUACUCCUAAAGGCAAAUGAUGCAAUAUAAAAACUAUAUACAGUGAUCUUCUGGACACAUUAUAUUUGGAGUAUUAAAAUUACACAAGGUAUUGUCCCCAAAAGCAAAUGUUGCAGGUAUUACCACAUUAUGUAAUAUAUAAUAUCCCUUCUCAUUAAUCAACAUCCACCCUACCCUUGGCAAUGGACCUUUUAUUUCGUCUAUAUGCUUUGCCCCUCAAUCUCCCUUUAAUCUCUUAGCAACAAAAGGGUGGUAUGCACAAUAAUUACCUUGCAUUACUUGAGAGAGAGUAAUUAUCGUAGGGGAAGGUGAUUACUAUAGAGAACUCCUCCCACUAUUUGUGCUAAUGUGCACUUUAUGGAUUGUAUUUAUGUUGUUUGAAAUUACUCCUUUCUACUUUAGUUGAGUGAUGGCCCGGUGAUUUGAACAAUUAGUCCCCAUUGAGAUUAGAACAGUUCCUAGUGUCAAAAGAUUGGGGUAACUAUUUCAAUGGACUGUUGCAACGUGUUUCACCACACCAGUUUCAGAUCAUUUGCUCCUUUUGUUAGAGGGGGUGGUGUGAGCAGAGGCAAAGCACCGGAAAUGUUUAGAAUAAGGAGAUGGGUCAAACUCAAGGCCUAGAAUAAGGAGAUGUUUGGAAAAGUUUCAGUUAAGAAGGAAGACGCCUUUUAUCUGUUGGGUUUUUAAGAUUCCAAGGAGCAAGAAGCUGUCCUUUCUGUUGUGUUGGGAAUUAAUGGGUUCCAACCAUGAUGGGGCUCUUUGUUUGAGAAGCAGCACGGGAGAGGGUUUUGACAUUGGACUAGCCAUAAAAGAGAUGAUAGACUUUGGUGAGUAAGUGCAAUUUAUGCAAAGACAAAAUAAAAGCAAUGGAUCACAUUCUUUCUUCGUUAGGCAGUCUAUGGUAAAGCAAAGAUUUUAUAAUGAUCAGUUCUCUCUUUGUUUGGCUUUGCAUACAUCUCGUCUUCACUGGAUCAUCAUGCUCUCCUAGGUUGAAGAGGUGGGCAAAAAGCAAAAGAAGACUUGGAAAGCUACUGCAGCUUUGUUAUUUUUAGACUAUUUGGAAGGAAAAAAAAAAUUAUAGAUCAUCUGAAAGUGUGGCGCUGACGGAUAAAGCACAUAUCUUUGUUUCUUUGUACUCUCUUGAUGUGAGUUAGGAGGUUAGUAAAUGAGACGUCAAUGUCUAUGGUAAAUUUUAUAGAUUGACUAAGUUUUUGUUAAGGGGAGGGAGCUUUAUUAAUUUAUUUUUUAUUUUUAUUUUUUUACCCUUAUAUUUUGACUUGCAUAUUAAUUUUUUAAACUAGUCUGAUUAUACUAAAAAUGGGUUGUCUUUUUCUAAUAGGUAAAAGCAGCAGAAAAUUUUAUAAAUGAAGAGAAAAGGUUGCCCAAAGGCCAACCAAAAGCAUACAAAAAGUAUACAGUAGGCACCAAAAGGCAAAAGCAACAAAAAAUAAGAGAUACAAAAAAUCUCACCCGCCCUCACCUAGAACCCAACCAAUCACAAAAGUUGAUUAAAGGUAAAGGUCCAUCAACUAUAUACAACUUAGUCCAAGACCAAAAACUGCACACAAAAGAAUUCUUCACCCUAUGUAUUGAAAGCUCUUCAUUAUAAAAAACGAUCCUAUUUCUUUCCUUCCACACCGCCCAAAAAAGGCAUAACGGAGUCCAGCAUCCAAUCCUUUUUACACUUCUUGCCUACAAAGGACCCAUGCCAACCAAGUAGAGCUUCCCUAACCGAGAAUGAAAGAACCCAUGUCACCCCAAAGAGAGCAAAUAAUAACUCCCACAAAACCCUAGUGUUUGUGCAAUGGAUUAAAAUGCGAUUAGACUAAAAAUGGGUUGUCUUAAUAUAAUAGUAUAGAUUACCAAAGUUUAAAAAAUAAAUAAAGUAAAUAAUAUAGCAAAAAAAAUAAAUUCAAUGUUCAUUAGUUUCUAUAUUUCUUGAGGUCUUGAUGACCUCAAGAUGGAGAGGACGAUUGAUGUACAACAUGGAUCACGUUAGGGAUAGCAAUAUAGCAGAUAUGGAAAUGAGCAUCCCCACCCCAACGCUGCCUUGGAGGAAGAAAACUCAACCAACCUAACAAGGGAGGGUCCUGUGCCUGUUUCUGAAUGAUCCUGCAUGACAAAGACUAACUGGCACACUUCAAAGAAUGUACAUUUUCAAAAUUCUUCAUGAAAGUGUAGAACUGAUCUAACUUUUAUAACCGUUCAUCCCUAAUUACACAAAGAUAUGACACACCUUCAAGCAGGAAAUUUUAACAAGGCAACAUGACUCAUUCACACAUGCACCGUGCAGAUUCACAUCAUGCAUCUAUUCUGUCAGAGCAAUUGUAAGUAUCAACAAAGUAUUUGGAUCAAAUAUAAGAGGUGACAACACAUACUUGCAUAGGAAGAUCGGCCAUAAUCCAUCAUUUGCCUCAGUCCCUAAAAGUGUUCUUCUUUCACUUUCUUCCUUAAACUUGUCUGGAGGAAGAACUUCACAUGGACCUUGAAUCAAGCCAGCCGUUAUGGCACUAUCGUGAUUAGAUUCAUAGACCUAACCAAAGGAACAAGGAAUUCACAUGAACUUUAAUGUGGACAACACAAACUCUCUGCUAAAAUGCCAAUCCACAGGGACAAAAUUCCACUACAUCAACAAUGUUCACUAAAUGACAUGUGAACAAAGGGAGUGCAAUGCUUCAAGCAGUAUCUGUGUGUUUAUCAGUCCAAUGCACAUCCUAGUUUGAAUUCCCUUUGCAUGGUUAUAUGAUAAAAUCUUAAGGCCUGUUUGAGAACGUUUUCGAAAAUAGUUCCCAAAGAACAGUUUUUGAAGAACACUACUCAAUUGCUUUCAGGUACAAAAUUCUGUUUGGGAUCUUACAUACAAAAAACAAUUUUCUUGGCUUGUUCACCAAGAAGAUACUACACACUUAUGCACAAUACAAAAAUUUUCAAAGCAUUCUACAUAUUUUUAAUUAUUACACAAAAUACUCUACAAAGAAUAACUGAAAACAUCUAAAAUUUGUUAUUAAAAACAACCUGCUUUUAGAACAGAUUUUAAAAAGUUGUUCUGUCAAAAGUUUGCUAAAUGUGUUUUUUAAGCUAGAAAAUUGUUUUCGAAAACAAUUUCCAAACAGGCCCUUAGAAAUUUGGGAAGAUAGAUGGUUUUAUAGUGUUGACACUAUGCCAACCGUUCAUCUACAUGACAGAUAGUCCACAUCACACUUCCAUUAUAUGCAUAAACACAAGGGAAAAAAAACAAAAAUUUAUCACAAAAACUAUUCACCUCAUUGCUUUCCGGAGCACUCGGGCGACCAACAACCUCUGGCAAGUCACUAGGAAAGUAGCAUUGAUUGGCCAUCACCCAUUUUGACCUAGUCUUGCUAUCCUCCCACAUGCCCUGCAGGAAAAGGUAAAAACAUUUCCCAUAUAAAAUAUCCUAAAAGGAAUAACAAUUCUCCAGAAGGCAUCAAAUAUAGUACAUGGUUCCUGUCAGAAACUAACAGAAAAUUUACAAUGUCUUAAUGCUACAGUAGUAACAGAGACAAAAUUAUGUUAUUACUGGUAUAAUUCUAUGAGAAUAACUGCUAGAAGAAUCAUUGAAUGCUUGAUGAAUGGCUUGCCUGAAGCUUAAAUGGUAUCAAUUUGUCAUUGCUGGAAUGAAAGAGAGCAUGAUCCAGCACUUUAUAUGAUACUCCAUUGAUGCAACAAGACUGGUAAAAUGUCUUCUCCUCUACAACUCUAAGUACGUCGCCAAUCCAUUGAACAUCAUGCAAUCCAUCUGGAGAAAAUCCAGUAGGCUCUUUAGCCCCUGCACUAGUCCCAGAAGUUCCAACAGAACUUGCCUGUGCAACAUCUUGGUCAUCUCGCUUAAUAUCAUAUGUUAGGUUACAAUCAGAAGUUCCUCUUGUAUAAGUUUUUUCUGAGUCUUUAACCAUAGUGUUGUUGUCAUGAUAAUUCUUUGAUGGAAUUUCAGCACAGUUUGUCAGCCUAGUACUGUCAACAUCUUGUGGGUUAUGUGAGACUUGUAAAUGAUGGGACAUAUCACUAAUCGCAUCAGAUAAUUUGGGGGGCUGUGGAUCUGGUUUAGGAACCAGUCUCUCUUCACGUGAGGAUGAUUCAGAAAUUUUACUGUGUUGAGUAGAUGUCUCAUUUGAUGAGGCAAUAGAUAGAGAACCACAAGCUGCCCCCAAGGACUUGAUUGAGUUAUUAGGGUAAGUUCCAGAAGAAGGCUUGUCAUCCACAUUUUUGAUACUUGAUGAGGAAUUAUUCACUUGCACUUGACUUGCAUUCAAUGUCUUUGAAUCAGAUGCCAACUCAAUAUGGUUGUUUACCAGGGAACCAUUAUGACCCUGUAAAUCAGAAUUUCCAUUUUCUGUUAUCUUCUGUUGAUCCAGAAUCCCAACUUUCUUCUCUGAAGAUGGCUGCACUCCAGCUGCACUAAUAGGCCCUUUUGGUGUGUUCAUAUUUCUCAUAACACGACCAUAUUUAGGGGGCAAAGGCUUCCCACUACUCAGCGACAAGCACUUUGGGCAAUGCCACUCGCCUCUAGGAAUUCCUUUGUGAUUGUAUGACUGAAGGCAUUUUAAAUGAAAUCCUCUUUCACAUGCAUCACAAAGAAGUACGUUUUCCACCUCAUUAAUGGUGAGCUUGCAUAUCUGGCAAGUCACAGCCUUAUUCAUGUAAUCCCUUGAAGGAGGAUUCCAUGUGGGAUGCUGAGGAAGCUGUGGAUGUAAUAACUUCUGAACAAUUUUACCAAUUUCAUUGUGAUUACUGGAAAGGGAAGACGGUUGAAAGUUGUUGCCCAGUAACAGCUGCUGUGUGCUUUGCAAAUGUCCAGGUGUAGUAUGAGUAACAAAUGAUCUAGAGUUCUGAUCUCUUGUUGAUUGAGGAGCCAUUCUUGACGAACUAAUAUCAGCAGCCCCCUCAACCCUAGCAGCAAUAUGAUCCUGCACCUUGUUCUCUGGCCCAGUUUUCACUGAUGAAACAGAUUGUGGUUGUAAGGACCAGGUUGGAGUUUUUGCCGGAAAGUGAUCAACAGAAGAGUUUGCUGCUGACAGUUUAUAUGCGCAUAUAACAAUCAGAAAAAUCCAACAAAGAAAAACGAGUAAAGAAGACUAAAGGUGAUAAGAUGGUAAUAGAAAAAAACUAAAUUUCUUGGGAAAAAAUGAGACCUACCCUAAUUCCAAGAUAGCACAAGCUAAGAACAAACUUGGUUAAAUAUCACCAGUAGCCUAGGACCCUAACAAACCACCCCCCCCCCCCCCCCCCCUAUCGCACACCUCUCUUUUUGUUUCCUGAAACAUCACUACAUCCGGAUUCUGAAGCCGCAGAAAAUCCUUAACCACCCUCCUCUUUGUCCUAGAUCCCAACCCCCUUACAUUCCAACUUAUGAUCUUCAUAAAAACACCUCACUGCACCUAUAACUCCAGACCAUCGCCACCAAAUCUCAAUUGCCUAUGGCAAUUCUGUUCUUUCGUCUUGAGUACACCUUAAUAUCUAAGGAACUCAAGACUUCACAAACUUUAGCCAUCUUGCUAGGGGAAAGACCUUCUAUUUGGAAUCCACUCAUCUGGGAGAAAUCUGAGUCUCCCUUGCUUAUUGCGCCCAGAAUAGGGACCCCGUGAGGCGAGCUGGAAUUGGUCGUAUCAUAGUUAAAGCUCUUAGACAUCAGAUUCAUUCCAGCCAUCUGGGACUCCACUGCAACAAGAUUAUGAUUGCCAGCAUUUAAUCUAUCCUUUUGACAAUUUCUUGGAAAGCUUUUUUUCCUUAAAUAUGUUGCAUUUUUUUGCCAUUUACUAACAGAGGGGUGAUGAGCUCGGAUGAUGAAUUUGUAUUUAGUUUGUUAUAUUAUUAAUGCAUUGUCUANNNNNNNNNNNNNNNNNNNNNNNNNNNNNNNNNNNNNNNNNNNNNNNNNNNNNNNNNNNNNNNNNNNNNNNNNNNNNNNNNNNNNNNNNNNNNNNNNNNNCCCUUUUUUUUGGGCCCAUUUUUUAAAGGAAAAAAGAGUUGGGGUUUUAGGGCCCGGGUUGGUUUUUUUCCCGAAAAAUUAACAAAAAAAGGAUUUGGGGGGGGCAUUUUUUGGGGCGUAUAACAACUGAAAAAAUCCCCAAAAAAAAAAAGGGUAAAAAAGGUCUAAGGGGUUAAAGGGGGUAAAAAAAAAAAAAAAAUUUUUUGGGAAAAAAAGGGGCCCCCCCCUAUUUCCAAAAAGCCCCAAAUAAAAAAAAAAUUUGUUUAAAUUCCCCCGGGGGCCGGGGCCCCAAAAAACCCCCCCCCCCCCCCCCCCCCCCCCCCCAAAUUCCCCUACAGAAGGAGAAAAAAGAAGAGAAAAAAAGGAAAUAAAAUUGAAUAAACUCAGCUGGGUGGUCAUUGCAAUCCUUGAAAUUAUUGCUAAUGGUCUAAGCAAAUAUGUUCAACCAAAUAAUGGCAAUAAGAUGGCAAAUUUUUUUUCAUUUUUAUUUUUCCUUCUUUGGGAAAGAAAUCUAACACAACAUUAAUUCUGAAAUACUAGAAAAGAAGGGUGACAUAUGGAAAAUAUCACCAGUAAGCUAUGCCCUACCAAACAAACCAGACCCCCACUUUGCAAAAGCUACCCCCGCACAAAAACAAAAGACCAAAAAAAAACAAAAAACAAUACAAAAACAAAAAAAAAUGCGGAAAAGGGAAGAAAAUUGAAAAAGAAACAAUCAGAUAUCAUUACAAUCCUUGUAAUAUCCAAACAACAUGUUCAAACAACUAAUUAUGCCCAGAAGGAAUAGGAAAACAAGGAAAAGGGAAGAAAAUUGAGAAGAAAAGGCCGGGUAUCAUUAGAAUCCUUGUAAUUAUUGCUGACAAUCCAAAGAAACAUGUUCAAGCAAUGAAUAAUGCAUAUUCACCCAGAUUUUAGUCAAAAACUCAGAGCCGAGAUGUUUGUUGGUAUAGACAAUAAAACCUAAAAUCAGCACAAAAAUCACUUCAACAAUAAAGGCAUUCCAACAUGGAAAAAAAACAAGUAUUUGUGUACUAGUAUUUUUUUUAGGUUCCCUUUUUUUUUGGGCUGUUUUUUCAUUUUUGUUUUUUUGCUUUUUUUAAUUUAUUCUUUUUUUGGCUGUUACACUGGAUUGAUCUUGGCAACUCACCUAUCCCCAUCCCAAUCCCUUGAACAACAUCUUAAGAGCCAUUUUGUACUAUUAUCAUCUAGGUGUUCCCCAAUUCUCUUCAUGGAUAUUUUUAGAUUCUGUAAAUAAUAACAAAAAUUACAGGUUUCGGGUGCUUCUGAUAUAGAGGAAAAGAAAGUUGAUUUUCCACCGGUCUUUCAUGUUUUUAUUGGGGCAAGAAAAUGAAACAACAAGUAAUACCUUGUACUUGAGAUGGAUAAGGAGACCCAUUUGGCCUUCCAUCCAAUCUGAAAUGUGUUCUUUCAACUCUGGGCAAUGAUAAAGAAGAAGAAGAAUCCCUUCCCAAAUUGCUGGUUGCUAAUCCACUUGAAGCUAUAGAUGACCUUACUUCAUUGGGGGGCAACUGAUAUGGUAAAGGAGUAGUAGUUGCUGCGGAAACAUUCCCUAAAGGUGAAGCAGGUUGAAAACCUCCAGAAGAAAUUGGAGGAUGACCGGGUUUAUCUGAUGGAAACAUACGCGCAGUAUGUUGGGGCCCACGGCUUUCAGUUGGAGAACCAAAGGUUGAUUGCAACCGUUGAGAUGAAUAUGUAGCAGAAUGGGCCACAAAUUCCUUGGAUUCUUCCAUCUAUAGAGAAAAAAACACAAAAGCAUUAGGGAAUACCAGAAAAAACAAAUAGCAAAAUAAAUAUGUAUGUAGCACAUCAAUCUGUCAAAGCACAGUACAUAUAGAAUAAGGAUGCAAUUCAUAAAGCAUAUCCUGAUGAUCCAAACCAGUCUUAGAUAAGAAAAAAUAAAAGCCUUCAUUAAUUAAGCAAGGAACAAGUGCCCUCUAGUCACGAGCUUACAUGUAGACAAUGCAUUAAUAAUAUAACAAACUAAAUACAAAUUUCAUCAUCCGAGCUCAUCACCCCUCUGUUAGUAAAUGGCAAAAAAAUGCAACAUAUUUAAGGAAAAAAAGCCUUCCAAGAAAUUGUCAAAAGGAUAGAUUAAAUGCUGGCAAUCCUAAUCUUGUUGCAGUGGAGUCCCAGAUGGCUGGAAUGAAUCUGAUGUCUAAGAGCUUUAACUAUGAUACGACCAAUUCCAGCUCGCCUCACGGGGUCCCUAUUCUGGGCGCAAUAAGCAAGGGAGACUCAGAUUUCUCCCAGAUGAGUGGAUUCCAAAUAGAAGGUCUUUCCCCUAGCAAGAUGGCUAAAGUUUGUGAAGUCUUGAGUUCCUUAGAUAUUAAGGUGUACUCAAGACGAAAGAACAGAAUUGCCAUAGGCAAUUGAGAUUUGGUGGCGAUGGUCUGGAGUUAUAGGUGCAGUGAGGUGUUUUUAUGAAGAUCAUAAGUUGGAAUGUAAGGGGGUUGGGAUCUAGGACAAAGAGGAGGGUGGUUAAGGAUUUUCUGCGGCUUCAGAAUCCGGAUGUAGUGAUGUUUCAGGAAACAAAAAGAGAGGUGUGCGAUAGAAGGUUUGUAGGUAGUGUCUGGUCGGUUAGAAAUAAGGAGUGAGCUAUUCUUCCGGUGUGUGGGGCUUCAGGAGGGAUUUUGAUCAUUUGGGACUCAAAAAAGAUGAGAGGUGAGGAGGUGGUAAUAGGAUCCUUUUCCGUCUCAGUCAAGUUCUUGUUGGAUGGAAGCGGACCAUUGUGGUUGUCUGCAGUCUAUGGUCCAAACAAUCCCUCAAUUAGGAAGGAGUUUUGGGUGGAGUUGUUAGACCUUUUUGGUCUUACUUAUCCCUCAUAGUGUGUUGGAAGUGACUUCAAUGUGAUAAGGAGAAGAUCAGAAAAACUGGGGGGAUCUGGAGUCACUUCCAGCAUGAGGGAUUUUGAUGGUUUUAUAAGAGAAAGCGAAUUACAUGAUCCCCCAUUAAGGAAUGCCUCUUUUACUUGGUCAAACAUGCAGGAGUCACCGGUGUGUAAGAGAUUGGAUCGGUUUCUCUAUUCAAAUGAGUGGGAGCUUUCCUUCCCUCAAAGCCUUCAAGAAGUUCUUCCUAGAUGGACAUCGGAUCACUGGCCGAUUGUCUUGGAUACUAAUCCGUUCAAGUGGGGACCAACACCUUUUAGGUUUGAGAAUAUGUGGUUGCAACAUCAUAAUUUCAAAGAGAGCUUUAGCAGUUGGUGGAGAGAAUUUGAAGGAGAUGGUUGGGAAGAUCACAAGUUCAUGAGGAAGUUACAAUUCGUUAAGGCAAAAUUGAAAGAUUGGAAUAAGAAUACUUUUGGAAUGCUUAAGGAAAGGAAAAAAACCAUAUUGGAUGAAAUAGCUAACAUUGAUGCCAUUGAACAAGAAGGGGCUCUCUCUUCUGAUCUUGCAGCUCAAAGAGUUAUAAGAAAAGGGGAGUUAGAGGAGCUAAUUUUAAGGGAAAAAUUCAUUGGAAACAAAAAGCUAAGAUAAAAUGGGUUAAGGAGGGGGAUUGUAACUCAAAGCUGUUUCAUAAAGUGGCUAAUGGGAGACGUAACAAGAAUUUCAUCAAACUCUUGGUGAAUGAAAGAGGUUUGGUGUUGGACAGUUCCGAGAGCAUCACAGAGGAGAUAUUACUAUAUUUCAAGAAGCUUUACUCAAGUCCUCCUGGCGAGUCUUGGAGAGUAGAAGGUAUUGAUUGGUCCCCUAUUUCAGAAGAGAGUGCUUUUAGGUUGGAUUCCCCUUUCGCCGAAGCAGAGAUCUUUAAUGUCAUCUUUCAGUUAGAUAGGGAUAAGGCGCCGGGGCCUGAUGGUUUCACCAUAGCAGUAUUUCAAGACUGUUGGGAUGUGAUCAAGGAAGACUUAGUGAGGGUGUUUGCAGAGUUUCACAAUAGUGGGAUUAUUAAUCAAAACACUAAUGCUUCCUUCAUAGUCCUUUUGCCUAAAAAGAGUCAGUCAAAGAAGAUUUCGGAUUUUAGACCUAUUAGUCUGAUCACUUGUCUAUAUAAGAUGAUAGCAAAAGUAUUGUCAGGGCGUCUAAGAGGAGUCCUACAAGAGACCAUCCACUCCACUCAAGGUGCUUUUGUACAAGGGAGACAAAUUCUGGACGCAGUUCUUAUAGCUAAUGAGAUUGUGGACGAGAAAAAGCGAUCAGGGGAGGAGGGAGUUGUGUUCAAGAUAGACUUUGAAAAGGCUUAUGACCAUGUGAAAUGGGAUUUCUUAGAUCACGUGUUGGAGAAUAAGGGUUUUAGUUCUAAAUGGAGGAGUUGGAUGAGAGGUUGUCUGUCGUCGGUAUCUUAUGCUAUUCUAGUGAACAGUAAUGCUAAAUGAUGGGUCAAGGCAGCUAGAGGUUUAAGACAAGGUGACCCUUUAUCCCCUUUCCUAUUCACUAUUGUUGCAGAUGUGUUGAGUAGAAUGUUGUUGAAAGCUGAGGAAAGAAAUUUGCUAGAGGGCUUCAGGGUAGGUAGAAAUAGAUGUAGGGUGACCCAUUUGCAAUUCGCAGAUGAUACUAUCCUAUUUGCUAACCCUAGAGAGGAAGAAUUGCAAACUCUUAAGAGUUUAUUGUUAGUGUUUGGUCAAAUAUCUGGGCUAAAGGUCAAUCUUGACAAGAGUAAUCUUUUUGGCAUCAACCUUGAUCAGAAUCAUCUUUCUAGGUUAGCGUUGCUGCUUGACUGCAAGGCUUCAGAUUGGCCCAUUCUUUAUCUGGGUCUUCCUUUGGGAGGGAACCCAACUGCUUGUGGAUUCUGGGAUCCAGUGAUUGAGAGAAUCUCUAGGAGAUUAGACGGAUGGCAAAAGGCUUACUUAUCUUUCGGUGGUAGGAUAACUCUCCUACACUCUUGCCUUUCCCAUAUCCCUAGCUACUUCUUUUCCUCGUUUAAGAUUCCAGCUUCAGUGGCUGCAAAAAUCGAGAGGAUACAAAGGGACUUUCUAUGGUCAGGGGUUGGGGAAGGUAAAAGAGAUCAUCUUGUUAGGUGGGAAGCUGUGUGCAAGUCGAGGGUUAUAGGGGGUUUGGGGAUUGGGAAGAUUCCUUUAAGGAAUCGUGCUCUUCUAGGGAAAUGGUUGUGGAGGUUCCCUAGGGAGAGUACAUCUCUUUGGCAUCAAGUCAUUCUUAGCAUAUACGGGACACACUCAAAUGGUUGGGAUGCCAAUACUAUAGUCAGAUGGUCACACCGCUGUCCUUGGAAGGCCAUAGCACAAGGCUUUCAGGAUUUUUCCAAGUAUACUCGGUUUAUCGUAGGAGAUGGGGAAAGAAUUCGCUUUUGGGAAGAUUUGUGGUGGGGGGACCAAACUUUAAAAGACCAAUAUCCAAUACUAUUUCGAGUAGUAAUGGAUAAAAAUAUUCCAAUUUCUUCAAUACUUGGUUCAUCUCGCCCUUUCUCAUGGAACUUUAAUUUCCGUCGUAAUCUAUCCGAUUCCGAGAUAGAAGAUCUGGAACGCCUCAUGCACUCUCUAAAUUGUAUGAACUUAUCCACUUCCGUUUCAGAUGUGAGAUCAUGGUCCUUAUGUUCUUCAGGUUUGUUCACAGUCAAAUCUUUCUUUACAGCCCUGUCCCAAAUGCUUGAUUCAUCUCCAUUUUUCCCCACUAAGUUUGUUUGGAAAUCUCAAGUCCCUUUCAAAGUUAAGGCCUUUAUCUGGCUUGUGGCACAUAAGAAGGUGAAUACCAAUGACUUGCUACAAUUGAGGAGACCCCACAAAGCUAUUAGCCCUGACAUAUGUAAGUUGUGUAUGGAACAAGGAGAAUCAGCAUAUCAUCUCUUCCUCCAUUGUUCAGUGACGUUGGGGUUGUGGCACAGACUUUUUCAGCUAGCCAAGAUGGAUUGGGUUCCUCCGAAAAGCAUUUCGGACAUGAUGUUCAUCAAUUACAAAGGAUUUGGCAAGUCCAAGAGAGGGGUAAUUCUAUGGCAAAAAGCGAGUAUAGCGUUAAUCUGGGUUGUGUGGCGGGAAAGAAACGCUAGGAUAUUUGAGGACAAGGCUAGGAAUUCAGGGAAUCUUUGGGAUUCCAUUCAUUUCCUUGCGUCCUUUUAGGCGUUUUGUUCAGCGGGUUUUAAGGGCACCCCCCUUAACGUAUUACAACUUGAUUGGCUAUCAGUGUGUAGUUCAAGUAGUUCCAAUGAGACGACCUAGUGUAUUGUUAUUUUUUCAUGUUGUUUAGUUUUUCUUUUGGAGGGAGGAUUCCUCAUCCUCCUUUUGUACUUCUUUUCUAUCAAUAUAUUCUUGUGUGGUUUCUUAUCUAAAAUAAAAAAAAAAUAGAUUAAAUGCUAGAAGGAUUUAUGCUGAUUAAUUAAUGGUGCUGGAAUGUCAACAAUCUAUCACAGAGAUUUGUCCCUCAUUCAAAUUGGACAAGAGUGAAACUUAGGUUGAUGAAUGAAAUUCUAAAGCCCCUGAUGUCAAGUAUAAGUAUAUCCAUUCUCACACAACAACAGAAACCUUAACUUUUUUGACAGGCCAAUUAAAUUAUUCUAAAUGGACACAUAGCAAAAAAAAGGGUGUGAUCAAAGUACACAAGAUGCAUGCAAAGAGAACUAAAGCCCAAAA
rnacentral:lncRNA from 1 species